CUAAUAAUGGUCAAUCAAAAAUUUGAAUGAGAAAAUUUAAAGACUGAUUCAAUACUAACCAGAGGUGGAAGUGAGAUAAAUUCAAAAUCAACUGAAAAAAUAUUAUACUUAAAUCUUAACUAAUGCAAUGAAAUAAACCCACAACUAAUUAAAAUAAAUAAAUUAUACUUAAUGAAAAUAUCUUCUAGAUUCAAACCAAAGGAUUUAAUGCUAACAAUACUUCUCAAGUGUCAUAUACUUGCUCAGGUUUCACAUUGUUAAACUCACUAUUUGGCAUUAUAUUACUCAGUUAGAAUUCAACAUAAUAUCUACAUUGGAACAAAUCACACUUGGCCAUAUCUUAGAUGGAUACAUAUAAAAACGAAAUAUCAUUAAGUAAUAUCAUCAAAAUGCUAAGAUUAUAAUAAACACUCAUGAAGAUGAAUUCAUCAAAGAAAAAUACGAGAUUGCAAUGGUUAGAAUAGCUCUGGUCAAACUUUUAUAUAAUCAUGAUCUUACAUUAUACAAAGAAAGAUUGAGGGACAUCUAUUGUGAAAAUAAUUCACAAUGAAUGAAAGAAGAACCGCGAACUAAGAAUCACGAACCAAACCUCAAACUGUAAUUCUUUGUCAACCCGUUUUCUUUUCUGAUCAUUCUCCUGUUCUCUUAUUUUUUCUCCUAAGUUGAAUAUGUGUGUUUUUUCUUUUUUUCUCUAAUGUUAUUUCUCUAUUUUGCUUUCUCUCUGUUACUCUUUCCUUGUUUCUCUCUUUUUCUCACUUCCUCCUUUGCUUUCUUUCAAUUUUUGUUUUUCCAGUUUGUAUCCUUUUUUUAAUGCUCUCCCUUCUCUGUUUUCUAAUGCAUGCAUGUAUAUUUCAUGUCUUCUUCUUCCUUUUCAAUGUUGCUCUUUUUUCCACUUUUAAUCUUCUAUUUUAUUUUUUUUCUCUGUGCUCUCUUCUUUUCAUGUUAUCUAUGUGUUGUGUUAUAUAGGGUAUGGGGUGGGAAGUUGAGGGAGUUGAGGUAGUUUUUUAGGAUAAGAUUUUUUUUUUUUUUAAAAAAGAUAAGAUAAAAAAAAUUAAGAUAAAAUAAAAUAAAAUAAUAAUUAAUUAUGUUUUAUAUUAAAACAAAAUGCAAGAAAAGUUUAUAACUAUCUUAAAAUAUAGUUAAAAAUAUUAAAAUUACUAGCUUAUUUAUUAAAAUUAAAAUUAAAAAAAUGUUUUUGAAUUUCUUUUCGUAUUAUUUUUAUUAAAAAAAAUAUCCCAAAAAUGUAACUUUAUUUAUUUAUUUUCAACUAAAACUUAUUAAAAAUAAAAUAAGACUUAAAAUAAUAUCGGAUCAAACAUAAAUAUUUAAUACAAAAAAAUAUAUAUAUUAAAUUCGGCAGGGUCAAAAAUUACGUGUCUAUAGUGAUUUAGAGGGUGUGCCUAAUUUUGAGGACAACACCUUGGGGGAAAGUGAGAGUGAUCAAGACUUAGGUCCUUGGUUACUUCUACCACUUGAUGUCGGUGCCAUCUUACAGUAUGGUAGGAGUAGUUUCGGCCUAUGUUCUUUAUUUGUUGGUGUUUAUCCUAGUCACUUCUUUUGUGCCAUUUGUACUAAGCUUUUCAUGUUCAACACAAAGGACCCAUGGAUAUACUUCAAGUUUGUCCUACCUCGACAUGACAUGUUGAUGUGUUUAUUUUGCUAACCCUAGCCCUCACGUCAUGAGGAUGUGUGCUUGUUUGUCUCUUCUUUGAUUUUGCAAGAUUUGGGUUCGAGGUCGAAUCCUUUUCAAGAAGGGGAGAAUGAUACAAGCACGACCACGAUGAUGGAGGUGUACAAGUGUGUCAAGAGUCCAUCCGAGGUAAUACAUUGUUAAAGUGUGAAAGGAGGGCUUAAAAGGGCACCAAAACAGUCCACACCAUACACUUGAUGGGCGCCCCACUCUUUGAGGGGCCUUUUGGUCAUUUUAUACUUUAUUUUGUAAUACACUAUAUAUAGAACCUUGUAGGGUUUCAUUAGUUAGUUUUUUUAUGAUGUUGUAAGUCAUAAGACACAAAAAAACACAAGUCCUCUCCCUUUGGAGCCAUAAAACUGAAACUAGGUUUCAACUUAAGUGUGGAAUCACUGUGUUGGAUUGUUGGCUUGAUACGUUGGUGUUUAGAGGAGGUAAAGUCCUUCUUGUGUCAACGUAAGAACUUGGUGUUAGUUUACAUGUUUGUAGGUGUUUUUGAGUUUAAUAUACUCUUUAGUUUCUAUCUUACAUGUUCUCUUUAUUUCAAGUUAUUUAUCCAUUAUCUCUUAACUUAGUUUUGUUUUCUUGUUGCUGUUUUGUGCCUAGUUCUAGUGGACUAUUUUGUGACGUUUUGUCGGCUGUUUUGAGCCAUCUUUGGACCAUUUGGUAUCAGUUAGGACUGGGGGAGGGUACUUAGAGCACUUUUCCUUCUUAAUGCGGUUACACCACAGAUCGACGCUUAGUCGGUUUCAUUUUGCCUUGGUGAUAGAUGUUUUGUUGCUGCAAAUUCAAGGUGAUGAGCCUUACUAUUUGCUUUUUUCGAAUGAUGUGGUCUCGAUUGAUGAAACACAUAGUUGAGUUAAUGCUAAAUUGGAGUUUGGAGGCAAACCCUUGAGUCUAAAUGAUUUAGGUUGGGUAGGUCUUGGACGAAAUAUUUAGAGUGUAAGUUUAGUGAGGUGUCUCAUGAGUCUGAUGUGGUUGUUAAUCUUGAUACUCAUUCUAUCAAUAAGAGAGAUAGUUUCAAGUAUUUGGGAUCUAUGAUUCAGGAGACUGGAGAGAUUGACGAAGAUAUCACUCAUCAGAUUGGGGUAGAGUGGAUGAAAUGGAGGCUCGCUUUCGAAAUCUUAUGUGACAAAAAAGUUCCUUCUAAACUUAAAGGCAAGUUCUACAUAGUGGUGGUUAGGCCGAUUUUAUUAUAUAUGGUAGAAUGUUGGCCUGUUAAGAAGGCCUACAUCCAGAAGAUGAGGGUGACGGAGAUGAGAAUGCUUCGGUGGAUAUGUGGGUGUACUGUGAAAGAUAGAAUUAAGAAUGGGGUUAUUCGGGAUAAGGUGGGAGUGACUUUGGUGGAAGAAAGGAUGAGGGAAGCGAGGUUGAGAUGGUUCGGUCAUGUGAUGAGGAGGGGCACGGAUGCCCCAGUGUGGAAGUGCGAGAGGUUGACUAGGGAUUGUUUCAAGCGAGGUAGAGGUAGACCGAAGAAAUAUUGAAGGGAGGUGAUUAGACAUGAUAUGGAGCAGCUCCAGCUUAUUGAGAACAUGACCCUAGAUAGGAAGUUGUGAAAGAGGCGGAUUAGGGUAGAAGGUUAGUAUGAGUUUAUGAAGUUGUAUCUUUUGUUGUAUUAUUUGGUGUAUCCUGUGUAUAGUAUUAUUGGAUAUAUUGAUUUCUAUUACAUCUUGUUCUUUUACUAUUCCUUGUCUAGAUUAUUUUAUAUUGAGCCAGGGGUCUAUCGAAAACAGUUUCUCUACCUCACAUCUGUGAUAGUGGUAUGGAUUGCGUACACCUACCCUCUCCAGACCCCACUUGUUGGGCAUAUACUGGGUAUAUUGUUGUUGUGUAAUGAUUCUCAUAUUAAUAUCAUGAAAAAUAUAUCUUAAAAUGCUGGUCAAAGUCAUGUAGUUUAAUUUUUUUAAAAAAAAAAAAAAGAAAUGACAAGUAAAAAUAAACAAAAACAGUAAUUAAUUAAUUAUUGCACUGUUAUCCCAAGAGAAAAAAUGGUUACAUAAUCUAGAUACAAAUUACAAGCAAAUUAAGUAUUUGUUACUUUGUGCUAUAUAUAUAUCCCCAAUAAACAUUUUUUUCAGUACACAAAAAUCAUUUUUCUCUUCUUUUCAGAAAAAGAAACAAUAGUUUAACAAAUAUUUUUCUAAAUAAAUCAUGGCAGAAUAUAAGUAUGUUAGUCUCCGUGACCUUAUGAAAAAUCAACCGAUUCAUAUAUCAAAGUUCAAAGAUUCAGAAUUUUACACUGGAAGCACGUCAUCGUCACCACAAUUUUCUUUGAGAAAUUCUUCUUCAGAGGAAUCAAAAAUUGAAGAAAUCGGGUGUUUCUCAAAAAUAUUUGAAAUUUCAUCGAAGUUUGUUUCAUUUAUAAAAGAAUGUUUGUACAUUGACUAAGCGUGCAUAGUUGUGUAUGUUGAAGGUGGUCAGUCAAUAUUUUUUUAUCUAUAUAUUACGUAUAUAGAUGAAAUAUGACUUUUUAUAAUUAUAUAUGAAUUUUCGAAUACUCUUAGCGAAGUUCCUGACUUAAUCACAUCGAUCGAGUCUACUUUUCUUUUUUUAAUUCGUUAAAUUUUCCUGAUUUGUUGCUUGGCUAGGUAAAGGUUCUAUAAAAUUUUGGGGAAAAAAAAAAAGAUUUGGAUUUCUAUUGAGAUAAAAUUUUGUUGGAGUGUUAUCCCAAUGUAAUUGUUAUUCAAUCUUAUGAUGUUAUUAUAUUUUUAUUUCAUAAUUUCAUAUUAUGUAUUUUAAAUAAUUCUUAAAUAGAAAUUGUUCAUUGACCUUUUAACUAAUGUUUGGCUAUGAAUAUUUUGAAAUAUUUGAUUGGUCUUAGGUUUUAGAUUGAAUUUUGAAAUUCCACUUUCAAUUUUUAAGUUCCAAAAUAUUGAUUUUGUGACUUUAACUUACAUAACUUUAUAAAUUUAAGCUUUCAAGUUCAAGUAAAGAAGACCUUAAUCUUGAUUAUAAUAGGGUUCAUUUGAUUGGAUGUAAAUUAUACGGCGUAUGCUAUAGUGAAGCUAAUGGACAAAAAAGGAAAAAUUGAAAAGAUUAAUAUUACUACCUCGUGAAGAAAUUUGCUUAACUUUUCAAAACAGCUCAGCAAUAGUCAGACACGUGCGAAUUAUUCAUGUGAACCAAAAAGUUUGGAUAGAGCCACAUAAAGUCAACAUUGACUAGAAACUAUUGUAAUAUUCAAUCAGUCAAUAUUUGUCGAUUUUGAAUAAAAAAUUUAAAGAAAUAAUUCAAGCCUUUUAUUUUAAGUUUUUUUAUUAGAAUAUAUGAAUUAGUUGUAUAGAAAUUAGUAAUAUGAAAAUUGUUCUCCAGAGAACAUAUAAUAUAAAAAUUAAGGGAAAUUACAUAGAAUAGUAUAUCAAGAUAUUAAAUUACAAAAAAUGACAAUACUUAUUUGAAAUUAGAUUGUGUAGCAUUAAUAGCAUUAUUUUUCCUCUUUUCAUCCUAAGAGAAGUUACCGUGAUUUUUUCCCCUCUUUUAACGCAUUCUUUCCCUCUUUUCACGCUUUCUUCAUAUCUCUCCUUAAUUUAAUUUUUUUUUUCCUUUUUUUUUACGCCAUUAUCAGUGAUCCCCGCUUUUAAUUUUUUCUCUUUCGUUCAUUUCUAUCACGAUCUAAUAAGGAUUGUAUUGCUCUAUUUCAGGUAACUAUUUUAUUAAGUUAUUGCAUGUUAGCAACAACAACAACAAACCCAGUAUAUUUUCACAUAGUGGGGUUUGGGGAGGGUAGAGUGUACGCAGUCCAUACCACUACCUCUAAAGAAGUAGAGAGGCUGUUUCCGAUAGACCCCCUGGCUCAAGAUAAAAGGCAGUAUACAAAAGCAUCAAAAGCAUAGAACACGAUAAAAUAACAUAGGUACGACAUCCAUAAAAAAAUUAUACAUUGCCAAACAAAGGAUACCAAAGUCCACCUAAAUACUGCCUACGACUCAUCCACACCCUUAUCCCUCUAUCCUAAUGCUUUUCCUCCAUAUCCUUCUAUCCAGGGUCAUGUCCUCGGUCAGUUGUAACUGCUCCAUGUCAUGUUUAAUACUUCUCUCGAGUAUUUCUUUGGCCUACCUCUACCCCGUUUGAAACCUCCCAAGUCCAACCUCUCACACCUACGAACUGACGCAUCCGUCCCUCUCCUCAUCACAUGAUCAAACCAUCUCAAUCUCACUUCCCACAUUUUAUCCUCCACUGACACUACUCCCACCUUCACCCGAAUAAUUUCAUUCCUAAACCUGUCAGCCCUUGUGAAUCCACACGUCCAACGCAACAUCCUCAUAUUCGCCACCUUCAACUUUUGGAUAAGAGAAUUCUUAACCGGCCAACACUCUGCUCCAUACAACAUAGCAGGCCGGACUGCAACUCUAUAGAAUUUGUCUUUCAGCUUGGGAGGAACCUUCCUAUCGCAUAAAAUUCUCGAAGCGAGCCUCUAUUUCAUCCAACCUGCCCCAAUGUAGUGAGAGUCAUCCUCAUUUAUCUCUUCAUUUUCCUUAAUCGUAGACCCAAUAUACUUAAAACUAUCCCUCUUGCAAACCGCCUGAGAAUCCAACUUCACUACCACCUAUUCCUUUUGCCUCAAGUCACUAAACUUGCACUCCAAGUAUUCCGUCUUGGUCCUACUCAACCUGAAACCUUUAGACUCUAGGGUUUGUCUCCAAACCUCCAGCUUAUCAUUAACCCCUUGUCAUGACUCAUCAAUUAGAACUAUAUCAUCCGCGAAAAUCAUACACCAAGGUACCUCGCCUUGUAUAUUUUGCGUCAACACAUCCAUCACUAAAGCGAAUAAAAACGGACUAAGAGUUGAUCCCUGGUGCAACUCUGUCAAGAUCGAAAAAUGCUCAGAAUCUCCUCCCACUAUCCUUACUCGAGUCUUUGCUCCCUUAUACAUGUCCUUAAUCACUCUGAUGUACGCCAUCGGGACCCCCCUCGCCUCCAAGCAUCUCCAAAGAACCUCCCUAGGGACCUUAUCAUAUGUCUUUUCCAAUUGAAUAAACACCAUGUGAAGAUCUCUCUUUCUCUCUCUAUACUGCUCUACCAGUCUCCGCACAAGGUGAAUUGCCUCAGUCGUGGAGAGACCAGGCAUAAAACUAAAUUGAUUCUCCAAAAUAGACACAAUCUUCUUCAACCUCCGCUCCACCACCCUCUCCCAAAUCUUCAUCAUGUGACUCAACUACUUGAUAUCCCGGUAGUUGUUGCAACUUUGAAUGUCACCCUUGUUCUUAUAUAAAGAAAUCAUCGUGCAUCUCCACGCCUCAGGCAUCUUUGCUGACUUGAAAAUAUUGCUAAACAAGUUGGUCAGCCACCUCAGCCCUGACCCGCCAAAAAACUUUCAAAAAUCCACCGAAAUUUCGUUGGGCCCCGUCGCCCUGCUCCUUCGCAUCUUGCAAAUAGCCUCACUAACCUCAUCUACCUUAAAACGCCGAUAAAAGCCAAAGUCACGACACUCCCCGAAAUUCUCCAACUCCCCUAACACAACACCUUUAUCUCCCUCAUCAUUCAAGAGACUAUGAAAAUAGGAUUGCAUGUUAGCGAUUUUUUUUUAAAUACUGUAAUACAUAGAAAAUUUGAUUUUAAUGUUUGUAUGAUAUAAUGGCUGAACACACAGCAAAAACAUGAUCAAAUAGUGUUAUACAAACUAGUAAUUUGGUGUCUAAUUAUGUACCAUCUUUUAGUCUGGGUUUAACUCAAGAUGAUAUAGUUAAAGUUGUUUCAAAUGAUAUACAGUCCAAUAAAUCUUUGAGUUCGAAGGAGAUUAGGUCCAAGUUCCGCAACGACCUGGUGAAGAUGACUGAAAUUUUGAAAAAUAAAAGGAUGAAGAAAACUGAUUCUCCAAAAGAACAAAAAACAAAAAAGCACGAGAAGAAAAGAAAAGCCAAAGAAAUCGAAGAAGUAAGUAAGGAUGAUGAUAAUGAUAUUCAGAACUCUUAUGCAGAAGAAUCUGAAGAAGAUAGUGAAGAUGAGGUAUUUUAUUAUUGUAAAUAUUUUUUAUUAUGUAUAUAUUGUUCUAAUAAAGAUCUUAUCAAAGUUGGGGGUUAUAUGUAUUUUUCAAGCAGUUAAUAUGUAUUUUUAGGUAUAUUGUUAUAUGAACUACACAUGAAGAGGUAAUGACUACAUGUAUUUCUAGUUUUAUUUAAUAUGUAUUUUUCAGUUUUGGUUGUAUUUAUGUUCUGUUCAAUAUACAUAUGCAUGUUGUUCUAAGUAUAGAUCUUAUCAAAGUUGGGGGUUAUAUGUAUUUUUCAAGAAGUUAAUAUGUAUUUUUUAGGUAUUUUGUUAUUUGAACUACACAUGAAGAGUUAAUGACUACAUGUAUUUUGUAAUUAUAUUUAAUAUGUAUUUUCAGUUUUGGUUGUAUUUUUAUUCUGUUCAAAAUACAUAUGCAUGUUAUAUGUAUUUUUUUGACUGAUUUGAUUGUGUUUAUUAAGGUUUAGUUUUAAUAGGUAUUUUAUGUUCUACUUAUACGUAUUUAGGGAUUAAAAUGAGCUGAUCUUUUUAACAUUUGUAUUUUGAUUAUGUUUGAUAUACAUAUUAAGUUAAAGGGUAACAUUUGUAUUUUUAUCCUUACACAUCAGAUUUCAUAUGUAUUUUACUGUUCAAAAACAUAUUAUUGCUAUAUGUAUUAUUUUAUUUAAUACAUAGGUGAUUUUUUUUCAAUUUUUUUACUAUUGAAGAAGUUGUAGCUUUACUUUGUAUAGGUGCUAAAAGAUGAAAUAUUCAUUGCAAGAAAACUCCUCAGAUUUGCACCACAUAUGUGCUCUUACAGUGAUAAUGAUAUUGAUGGGAGUAUACGGAUCGUAUUAAACAAGGAGCAUUAUAAAAAAAUUUGUGACAAUAUCAUUUUUGGCUAUUUCAUGAAGAAGAAGCACUGUGUAGUUCAAGCAUAGUUGUGCUGAUGUGUUAUGUCGCUGGAGAUAAAAGGUAGUUCUUCUUCUGCGAUAGUCAUCCGAGCUAAUGGAACUAAUCUUCAUUUUACUCCUAGGGAGUUUUCUAUCGUUACUGAUUUGAAUUUUAUCGCUAAUAGGGACAAAUUUAUUUUUGAUGACGAUGUACCAAACAGGCUUGUUGAGAAGUAUUUCAAUGGUGCAGAAUUUAUACAGAAAAGACAACUAUUUAUAGCAUUCAUGAACAAAGUUUGGGGGGAGAACAACAAUGAGGAUGUUGAGAAGUUUGCAAUUCUGUAUUUUCUGCAUUCUUUUGUCUUAUCUAAUGUUGACACUGUGGUUAUACCCAGACUUCAUUUUUAUUUGGAAGAUAGUAAAAGAUAUAAGAAUUUUUCAUGGGAUACUUUAUCAUUUGAGGAUUUAGCUAGAAGUUUAAACAACAGGUUGAAAGCUGGUGGAAAAUUCUAUUUGAUACAGGAACUGUCAUUGGCUAUUCAAGUGUGGCUUUAUGAGUGUAGUUCUAAUAUCCCCAAAGAGAUUGCAUCAGAGGUUGAUAAUCAAAUUUCUCGAUUAUUAAAUUGGAAGACAAAUGCACCGCAAUCACGUUUUGAGUAUUUGAUGAAUUCUAUGUUUAAUGAUGAUGGUAAGGUAUGUUGCUAGUAAAUACAUAUAUAUAUUAAUAUGUAUUUUACAGUCAACAUAUAUACAUAUUAGUAUUCUAUUGCUUAACAGUUACUUUAACACAUUUUAUUUAUAUUUCUAGGUUGUAUUUAAGAACAUAGGGCCAACUCCAAGGGAAUUGGAGAAGUUUUAAAUACUAGAGAAGGUUGUACUUGAAGAUGAACGUUUGGUUGAUUCGGAUGAUGAAUUUCAGGAUUCACCACCAAAAUGAAUCAGUGAACCUUCAAAAAAAAAAAAAAAAGAUUGAUUAAUCUUCAAGAGCAUUGAAGAAACCGUUAAGUAAAAAGUCUCAUAAUAUUAUUGACGAGGUUGUACAAAAGAAGACACCAGUUUCUUGUGCUGUAAAGGUUGCUGAACUGAAGACACCAGUUUUCAAGCCAAUUCAAUCACGACAGGCAACUCCAUCAAAAAAAAAAAGAAAGUGAAGCAAACAGCUAGGGUUAUUUUUCUUCGGUACAGUCAAAGCUACAGAGUCCUGCAAAAUAAAAAGUUGUGUCAAAGUCAGAGAGUCCUGUGGAGGAAGAAGUCAUUACCUCUAAGAAAGUUUUUGAUGUUUUUCGCGAUGAGGUAUGUUUUUUGUCAAUUACUUGUUUACAUUAAAAAUUUUAUGUUUAUUAAUUUUGUAUGAAAAUAGGUUCGCCGAGAGUUUAAAGGAAUUCGUACACUAGUAAAAAAAAUUCAAUCAGAUGAUGAAAAUAUUUGAACAUAGCAAGGUAAAAUUUUUACUAUUUUAAUAUUCUUAAAAAAAAAAAAUCUGACUUGAUAAUGUAUUCUUAGUUAAUUGACUUAAACAAAUACAGUACAUUUGUCAAAUAACUCAUUAUAAAAUUGUGCACAUAUAUUUUAGGAACAGUUUGCAGAUAAACAAGCUGAACAAUCAAAUGUUGAUGAUGGUGGGUUAAAGAAAUCUGGACAACACUUUAGUGUUGAUGUUGUUCAGUCUUCGAAUAAUAUUAUUGACGUUACAAAGGUAAAUAUUAAACUUUUAAUUACGUAUUUAGUAGUAUCUGCAUAAUCUAUGUUUAUUUAACCCCAAAAUACAUAUGAGGUUAAUGAAACUUUCAAAUUUUGAAUAGAAUUAAACAUUAAAUUUAGUAUUUUAUGCAGUUUUAUGUUUUGCUGUGAUGUUUAGUUCAAAAAUACAUAUGCAGUGUUCAUUUUAUAAUAAAAAAUACAAAUACAUUAGACAUCAUAUGUAGUUUACAUAUGUAUUUUUUGAAAAUAUUGUUAUAACAAUAUUUAGUUUUUGAUUGAUUGAAAACACUACAAUCUGUAAAAUAGUGUGUUCUAUGUUUUGUAUAUUAAUAUGUACUUAAGAGUUUGUUGUUUUAUAAUAAUAUGUAUUUUUAGUGUGUUUGCAUUUACAUCUUCAUUUUGAAAAAGAUUAUACACAUAUUCAGUGAACUUAAGUAUUAAGUUUUUAUUGAACUAGUAUAUAUAUUUGUAGCAACAAAAUGCAAAUAAAGAUUCAGAAAUGCAACAUAUGGGUUUUGCUAGUGCUGAAAUAUCACCACAAUUAUUUAGUCUAAAUGUUGAUAAUGAUUUGGGUGAAAAUUUGAAUGGAACAAAGGUAAAUAAUAUAGUUACAUAUGUUUAGUCAUUUUAAUGCACAUAUGUAUUUUUUUGUUUAUCAUUUAUAUGUUAUAUAUAUAUAUAUAUAUAUAUAAAUGUUGAAAUUGAUUCUCAAGAAUUAAUCCCUGAUGAGCUUCUCCGAACUAUAAAUUCGAAUUACUUACAUUCUGAGAAGGUUGAUCAACAUGAUUGUCGAGUAUGUAUAAUGAAUUUACCUUUGGCUAUAUGUGAUUUAAUAAUUCAGGGGACGAUUAUCUUUUUUCUUUCAUUUUUUAUAGACCAGCGAUGAGAAAAUGUAUGAAACAAUUUUGUCCGAUUCGCAAUUGACAAUUUCAAAUGAGAUAUUACCGAAUCUAAAUGCCUACCGAAGAGAAAGCAUCGUCAAACUUCCUUCAAAAAAUCGUGAAGAAGAAUCUCAUUAUGAAAAUUUGAAUGAUAAAAAGGCUGAGAAUGUUGUUGAAGAUCAAUUCAAGUAUGUAUAGUGAACAUAUAUUUUGAGGUUACGUAUGUUUUAUUGAAUAGAACAAACUAAUAUUUUUUCCUAUUCUUUUGUUAGACGAACAAAGAGAACAAUGGUUUGAGUUUAAAAUCACCGGUGCAUGCAGAGGAUGAACUUGAUACAAAGGAGCAAGUUAGGAUACUUUUUAAUACACAAGAACUAUCCAUUGAUGAACAAAGGGAUGAACAAAAGAAUGAACAAGUGUGGCCUGACUCACAAAACACAAUCCCUGAUGAGUUUCUACCUAGUCUGAAUGUCUACAAAUGAAAAAGCAUCAUUAUUCAUCCCUCUGCUAAUCGUGAACUUCAAACUCCCGUAUAAAAGUUAAGGAUUAGGAGACCAUCCAAAUUCAAGGAGUCGCCGUAUACUGAUAACUUUGGUUCANNNNNNNNNNNNNNNNNNNNNNNNNNNNNNNNNNNNNNNNNNNNNNNNNNNNNNNNNNNNNNNNNNNNNNNNNNNNNNNNNNNNNNNNNNNNNNNNNNNNNNNNNNNNNNNNNNNNNNNNNNNNNNNNNNNNNNNNNNNNNNNNNNNNNNNNNNNNNNNNNNNNNNNNNNNNNNNNNNNNNNNNNNNNNNNNNNNNNNNNNNNNNNNNNNNNNNNNNNNNNNNNNNNNNNNNNNNNNNNNNNNNNNNNNNNNNNNNNNNNNNNNNNNNNNNNNNNNNNNNNNNNNNNNNNNNNNNNNNNNNNNNNNNNNNNNNNNNNNNNNNNNNNNNNNNNNNNNNNNNNNNNNNNNNNNNNNNNNNNNNNNNNNNNNNNNNNNNNNNNNNNNNNNNNNNNNNNNNNNNNNNNNNNNNNNNNNNNNNNNNNNNNNNNNNNNNNNNNNNNNNNNNNNNNNNNNNNNNNNNNNNNNNNNNNNNNNNNNNNNNNNCGUAUACUGAUAACUGUGGUGCAGCAGCCGGUAAGUACACUAAGUUAUAUAUAUUUUUUAAUGUAUUAUGUUUUGCAAAUAUGUUUGUAUUAAUUAUAUUUUUGUAUUUUGUAAUUAUAUGGAGAUCAGUAGGAUAAAUACGUAUAUUUUUCAGAAACAUCCAUUUGUAUAUCACCCGAUUGAUGGGAUAGUGGAUACGAAUAUUGUCAAGAAGUUCAUGGACUGAAUUUCUGUCGACCUUCUAAAAGUUUCUGCUGAAAGGUAGUUCUUUUGAAUUUUUUCAGAUUUAUUUUUUAUAUCUAUUAUGUUUUGAUGAUUUACCAUGUACUUAAAAAAAACAGAAAGGGUAAAGUAGAACAUUACAAGAAGGGCAAAUCAGACAUUUCAAUGAUGCAUUUUGGAGUUCAGACUGUUGAAGAUAAAAAUUGAUCUUACACUAUGAAAUUCGCAGAUCAGUUAUGGACAAACUCGGUUAGUAUAUUAUAUUGAAAAAAAUUUUAUUACAACUGUAACAUUACUUAAAAUACAUAUUAGGUUUCCAUAAAAUCCAUAUACUUUCACACAUAUGUAUUUUUUACUACUCUUUCAUUAGACUUUUAUAUGUUGUGCUAAAAAUACAUGUAUACUUUAGUAAUAUACAUGUGAGGUAUUCAAUUACAUCACAUACUGUCGCAUUUAUUUUUUUCUUACAUUUUCUGCAUAUAAGUGUAGUUUAAAAAUGAAACUAUACAUACACAGAUCUUAGACAUUAAUAUAAAAAACUCAUAUGUAUUUUAUCUUACAUACAUAUGCAAAUUUAGAAUGCAAUUUUUUUAAAAGUUUUAAAUUUUGUGGUAUUAAUUACUGCAGUAAAUUGAUGUUUGCUUCUACUAAUUGAAGAAGAACUCAAAGUACGGGCCGCACAGCUCUUACAAAUACGAGCCAAAUAAAUCGUACAAAUACAGCACAGUAGAUUGCAACUUCAUGAAUAUAAUUAGGGCUUUGAUGGAAGUAUAUUUUGUGGAUGAUCCAAACCUUAAUGCUGGAAGACAGGAGGCCCAUCUUAAUAAAUACAUCAAUGAAUUUCGUAUGCAUACUGCGGUGCCAUGAUAUACAGUGAAAGACAUUUAUAUUUCAAUCAAUAUUAAGGGAAAAUAUCAUUGGAUUCUGGCGGUGUUAUCCUUCUAAGAGAGGUGCAUAUUCUUAUUCAUAUGAAUUCAGUGGUCAUUAUGCAGCUGUUCUUGCGGAGGUUGAGCAACUAACAAUGAUUAUUCCAUUGUGUCUCCAAGAUUGUGAUUUCUACGUUAAGAAAGGAAUUGAUCUUCAAAAUCAUCAAAGAUACAAAGACAAAGACUCAUCAGAUAUGUUUGAUGUUUUAUUUGAAGAUAAUUUGCCUCAACAAAGUGGAAGCUUGUAAGUAUUUUAAUAUACAUAUACCAAAAUUGUAAAUUUGUACAAAAAAUAUUUUACUUAUUAUUCAAUUUUUUCUAUUUUUGUAGGGAUUGUGGAUUGUAUACUGUUACUUAUGCAGAGUGCCUUUCAAACGGUGAUAAAGUUUCUUCGAUUGAGUUCAAUCCCAAUGCACUCCAUAGAAGAUAUGUUGCACUAUUAUGGGACUAUGGUAUUCGAAAACAGGAAGCGAAUGCACAUAGUGAUUUCGAAACACCCUUGAGGUCUGUUAGGCAAAGCAGAAUAACUAGUGUCAUUGAAGUUUUAGAUUUAUGAUGGCUAAUGAUUUCUUAAUUGGAUAGGUAACAAACUGAUAUAUGGAUGUGGUUUUAGAUGUAUUUCUGUUUUUUGAAUUGUUGCAGAUACAUUGAUUUUGAACUGCAUAUGUAUAUAGUAUUUUAUUAUGGUGUUCAGUAGUGACAUUUAACUCUAAAAUACAUAUUCAGUUUUUAAUUUUGCUUUAUCAAAUUUAUAUGCAGUGUUCAGACUGCAUAAAAAUGCAUUUAUGAUAAAAAAUACAUAUAAGUUAAAAAUACAUACAAGUUAAAAAUACAUAUCAGUUAAAAAUACAAAUGAAUUAAAAAUACAUAUACAGUAUUAAAAAAAUAUAUUCGAUAAAAAUACAUAUAUGUUGCUAGAAAUACAUGCGAGUUGUAAAUUCAAAAUACAUAGUUAGAUUUCAGAUGUUGUGCAUAUAUACAAAUAAAGUAUUCAGAUUUAUCAAUGUUCAUGUAUCAAAUGUCUUAACACAAAAAAAUUAAGUUCAUUCUAGCUAAAAAUGCAGAAGAAUGCUUUAAGAAAUAAUUUAGAUUACAAAUACAUAUACAGUAAUCAAAUUUUGAUAUAAAAAUACAUAUGCAUUACACACAAUAUGUAUUUUUCAAUGCAAAAUAUCACAUGUAUGGAAUCAUUGCUAAAUUAAUAUGAAACUAUUUAGAGUAGUUGAGAUUUUAAUGCAAAAUGUGACAUCUGAAUUAUUUUGAGAUUUAAUAUAUUUCAGAUAUCAUUUUGAUUUAUAUGGUGAUAAAUAUACAUACGACUGUUAACAAUAAAUAUGAGUAAAAAAUACAUAUUCAAUGUUAAAAAUACAUUUGAGUUACGAAAACAUAUUUAGUGUUUAAACUAAAACUUAGUUGUAUCUACAAAAUGAAAACAUAGUGUUCAGAUUCUGCGAUAUAUACAAAAACAGUAUUCAAAUGUAACAAUGUUAAUAUAUCAAAUAAGGCAUAAAUGUAUUAACACAAAAACAUGAGCUCAUUCUUAUUAAAACUGUAGAUGAAUGCUUCAAAACAUAACGCAGAAAAACAAAUGUUCUAUUUACGAUAUUUUUUACAAAAAGCCUAUUGUGACCCUUAGCCCUACAAGAACUGCAUGAGUUGAUGCUCUUAUUUCCAAACAUAUCCUUGCUUGAUUUUUCCUGAUCCUUCUUUAGAGGUCUUUCUGGACGACGUUUGUACUUCGGAGGCAAUACAAUAUCACCAAGUAUGCUAUCUGAAAUUAUCCAGUCAUCUUUGUGUGGUAAAAAAUAGAUUGAAAUAUCAUAUAUCUUCAACACGGCUUUAGGCUUAUACAAAUCACAAUAGUAUGGCCCCUUCUGAAAAUUCUUAUUAUCCAACACCGCACAAGCAUGUGCACAUGGUAUCUCAUUGAGUUGAAAUUCAUUACAUGAGCAUGUUCUUUCUUUAAGGCAAACAAUGAAGUGUUUUUGUUUGUCUUGCACCGUGUACACAUAUUCUGUUGUUGGAAGAACCUGAUAUUAAAAAGAUGAAAAAGAAAUGUGUAAAUGUACUAAUACAAAAAGAUGGAAAAUGUAUUAAUUGAUAUGUUGUAACCACACAAGAAAUUAUAUUUUUGCUACAUAACAAUACAUUUACAUAUAUAUUUAAUACAAACAAAUUUCAAAAAUAUUAUUAUUUGUUAAUGCAAAAUAUUUUUAUUAUUUUAUAUACAUUACUGCAUAUGAAGUUUUAUGAUUCUGCAAUAAAAAUACAUAUGCAGAAUAAAUACUAUAAUACAUAUGCAGUGUUAAGUUUUUUCCAAUACUAAAAUACAUAUAUAGUGUUAAAUUUUUUCAAUAAUAAAAUGUUAAGUUUUUUCAAUACUAAAAUACAUAUGAAGUUUUCUGAUUCUGCAAUAAAAAUAUAUAUGCAGAAUAAAUAUUAAAAUACAUAUGUAUUUAUUGAUCUACUAAAUAUAUAUGCAGUGUCAAAUUUUUUCAAUACUAAAAUACAUAUGCAGUACAUAUAAUAUGAUUUUCAAUGAAUUAACAUUUUCUGUCAUAUAUGUUUUCAUUGAUUUAGAACUUAAUUCAAGUAAUUCAAUACAUAUGCUUUCAUAAGUAUAAAUGCCACAAAUAUAAAAGAUCAUACCGUCAUACGAGUGCUCAAAGUCUUGUUCUCUGUGAGUAUGUCAUUAAAUUUCCCAAUGAGUGUGGUGAAUGUAUGUGAAGCCUCCUACCUAUUUUCACAAUUUCAUUUUUCAAAAAGCAAUUGAACUUCUUCUAAAAAAAAUCAUAAAUUGGCAGUUCUCUAGCUAAUAGAAGUAUUCCAUUUAUUGACUCAACAAUGUUUGAGGUCAAAAUUCAUCCUUGGUGAACUGUUGCAUAGGACCUAGCCCACUUUUCGUAACCAGCCAAUUUUAAAUAUUUCUUUACUCUAAUAUCAACUGCCUCAACCUUUUUCAUUAACAUGUGGAAUUCUGAUUUUAAAUAUGCUUUGGUCAUUGUAUAAAAGAUUUUCAAUAAUGCAUCAUGUGACUUUCUGUAAAGUUUUUUCACGUUCCUCCAUAGAUGUCACAUACAUGCAUAAUGCGGAACAUCUUUGUACACAUCACCAACAACCUUUAUGAUGCUUGGAUUCCUAUCAGAGACAACACACAUGUUUUGUCUUUUCCUGUACGCUUUCUUUAGAUUUUUAAAAAACCAAGUCCAAGAGGCAUCAUUUUCAGAAUCAAUCACACCAUAUGCUAAAAGAAAUAUAUUCCCUAUAUUUAUAAAUAUAAUUAGUGCAGUCUGAUAUAAAUACAUAUAGUAACUGCAUAUGUAUAUAUUAUAACUACUGAUCAAUAGAACUGUUUAUUUUAUGAAAGUAAUAGUACCAAUUAUAUAUAAUAAAAUGUAAACGCACAUUACAACUAAACAUUAUCAAUUUUACAUGUUUCAUACAACAAACUUUGAAUAUAUAUGUAAGUUUAAACAGAUAUGUAUAUAUCAAAUAGACAUUUGUAUUUCACAGUGAUAUGCAGAAAUACAUAUCAAAACACAACCAGUUUUACAAUGCAAUAAAAUGAUACAAACCUACUCCAUCCAUCGUACAUACUGUUAUAAAUGCUCCAGUAUACAUUCCUCUCAGAUGACUAGCAUCAACAACUACUACAGGUCUACCAUGAUCGAAUCCUUUAAUGAAUAUACAUAGAGUGAUAAAUGCAUACAAGAACUCAUUCUCAUCCGCCUUCUUCAUUCUUAUAUGUGACUCAAGAUAGGUAUUAUUCAAAAUAUAUAAGUAGGUAAUUUCUCGUAAGAUGCUAAUGGCUUACCCCUCAACUCUUCUAACGCUCUUUCCUUGGCCCUCGAACAUAAAGUGUAUGUCAAAUUCAUACCAAUCUCUUCCUUUAUGUCAUUUUUUAUUUCGAUCGCACUGUAUUUUCGUUUGUGAUUUUUUAAUUUCUGUUUAACCAUACCACCUAUCAACAUACUAGUAGCAUGUACCUUUGGAUAGAUCUCUUGUCCUUCACCGAAAAAGUAUGUUGAGGUAUUAAUUCUCUUAUUCUAAACAUUUCAGAUUCUCCCAUACCGGAUGCACGCAUUAAAAAUUUGCACUUUCAUGAUUUGCAAAUCAAUGUAUAACUGCAUCCAACAUAAUUUAAUGCUAUCAAUAUACAUAUUCAAACUUAUUUUUAAACAUGAUCUAAAUGAUAUAGAAUGUACGUACCAUUUUUUACUUGACCUUUCACUUCACGUUUGAAUUUUUUUCUUAUUCUAUAAUCCGUCAUCACUGACUUCAAAAUCUUUUUCAUCAAGUAAACCUGGUUUUCCUCAAUAUGCUUGUGAUGUGGGUCUGAGAUAAUCACCUUAACAGUAUCUAUCUCAAAUACAUCUAAUGCUUGUGUAUCUUCAGAAACCACCAGAGCUCAUUCAUUAGUUGUAUUUAUCACUGUUCGCAAGUUGUUAAAGUUGAAUCUUCUUUCAGCAACACAUAUAUAUAAACUUGCAAAGUUGCUCCCUACAAUUUUCUCCAAAAUGCUUACAUACAAAGAAAGACAAUUCAAGUCUUGUAGCUAUUUUUUUUGUAAAAUAAACACCUUUAAAUUCAUAUCAUUAUGUAUUUCUAUCUACGUUGCAUUACCAGUGAUUUGAUAUUUAACUAGAAUACGUUUGCUGGUUAAGUCCACAUUUAAGUGAGAUGUCAAAAUAUUGUGCAGCUCAACGAAUGUUGUUGUUAUGCUCAACAGUAUAGCAUCAGUGACGUAUUCUUCGUAGUUUUUUUCAUACGUCCACCUUUCAGAGUGUUUCACAAGAACUAGUAUGUUUUCCAUUUCUGACUGAAUUAACCAAAAGUAAACAGAUAUACAUAUUUCAACUAAACAAAAGUUAACUAACUUAUACAACCAACAACUACAAUCGAAAAUACUUAUUCAGAAAUAGAUAUACUCUCACAUUCCGUCAAACAAAUCUCUGAUCAACAAUAAAUACAACCAAAUACAAAAAUUCCUUCAUCAAAUACAAUAAAAACAUAAAAAAGAUCUAUUCAUAAAUACAGUUGUACACUCAAUUUUCGACAAACAAAACUGCAAAAAAACAGAAUUUGAUGAGCAUUAAAAACAGAAUUUGAUUGUAUUUUUUCUAGAUGUUCAAAUUACUAUUGCAUUAAACAUAUCUCAAAUUUUUUUUCGAAAUAGUCAUAAUAGAUUAACAUAGAAGCAGCACUGAAGAUCAAUUCAAAAAAUUUCAGCUAAUCAGCACAAUUAGCUCAGUCAAAAAUACAAUCAAAAUAACAAAAAUCGCUUUGAAAUUAAUCUAUAAUAAAAAAGAAAUAUCGAUUUCAUACAUUCAACAACAGUGAAGGAUGAAUUUACAACCAAUAGAUAAAUUGGGAAAUAUUACCCAGGGAGAAUGUAACGUUGCUUGUCGAAAUAAAAGAAACUAAUUUUUCAAAUUGAAAUUGAUCAACGAAAGACUACUGUUCAAUUGUAGCAAAUUGAAGAUUCAAAGAUAUUUGAUUUGUUUUUGUUCUUUUUUUGGAAUAAUCACGUUCUGAAAUCGUUUUUUGAAUUUUGAAUUUGAUUGUUAGCAAAUAACGAAAAACGCGUUAGUAAUGAGGAUUCAAUGGGAUUGUAAUCAUCACAGUUAAUUAAAGAUAAUUUUACCAUAUAUAGUUGAGUUAAUUAAGGCGUAGUAAAAAUUAUAUAUAUUUGUAUUUUUAUAGCAACAGUUUGCAAAAAUACAAAAUACAACUUGCUAUAUUAUGUAAUUAUGAAACUCAUAAUUAAAGGGAUAAGUAUGUUAUUUCUGAAUUUUGCUCCAAAAAUUAUUAUAUGAUCCAUCAAUAGAAUUAUCAAUAUGGGUCAGGCAUGUUGGCCUGGUCUGACCCAGCCUGCAAUUUAAUAGAGUUGGACUAAAAUAUUUAUCUAAAAAUUAUACAAAUACACAAUUUAUGUUUUCAAUAUUAUAAAAAAUUCCAACUCUAUUAACAUAUUACAAAAAUCCCAACAUAUACACAGAAUGCAACGUAUAUGUUGGCUAUUUUAUGUAUAUUAAUAGGGAAAGNNNNNNNNNNNNNNNCUACUUUCAAAAGUAGGGUUGGUAUUUAUGUUAUUUAUCCAAUUUUUAUAGCCAAUUUUAGAACAGGGCUUUCUAUCCGAUCUGGAUAAGUCCUGUAGCCCAUGGGCUUGAGCAACAUAGGCUAGGCCGGUCUGUGGGCUGAACAAAAAUUAUUAAAAAUAGAAUACUACAAAUACCAAGAGGAGUUCAAACUUAUAAAUAUACUUAAACAAUCAUAAAAAAAGUAAUAUAAAUCUCUAAAUUUUAUAAGGAAUCAAAUAUGUUUGAUGAAGACAACGAGGUGGUGUUGAAUACAUCAUAAGUGUCAUGAAAGUUUUUUUUUUUGACGAGUUUAUUUUCACUUUUAAUGAAUUAAAUAUUGACUUUUUUUGGGUGUUUUUUCUGUGAUCUAUUGAAACAAAAUUAGAUUAAUAUUGUCAUUUAGCUAGCUAUAGUUACUCAUUAAUUGUUUUGUUUGCUUAUCAAUAUCUCUAUUUGAUUUGAACGGUAUUAUGUCAAAAGUUAUUUAGUUUCGUAAAUUGUUAGGAUUUCUUUUGUGAAUUUCAGACUUGAUUAACAAGAUGUAAUAUUAUAUUGUAAUUAUUUAUGUUAAUAAUAUUUAAAAAUUUAAAUUAAGAUUGUACAAAUAAUAUAUUUUUAAAAGUAGGCCUAAGGAGGCCCACAAUCCACAAAGUGAUGGAUCGGGCUUGCUGUCAUCUUGAUGAAUCAGUUCGGCGUGACCCGUCAAAUCCUAAAGAUCGUGUGGACUAGUCUGAAUAGGUCGAGCUGGCUUGUAUUGAUAACUCUAUCCAUCCAUAAUACGAAAAAAUAUUUUUUAGGGUUAUGUAUUACAAGUGUAUUUUUAUCUUUAGAUACUUUAUCUACAUAUUGCUAAUACAUGUAUUAUACUUGAUUUACCUUUUAUUUUAGUAUAUGAAAUAAUGAAAUAGUACAUAUAUUUUUGUAUAACUUAUACCAAUUUUAGUUAUGUAAUAGGUUCAUUUUCAAUAUUAAAAUUGACAUAAAAAAGCGAAAAUGAUAUUAAAGAAUACUGCUCUAUAUAUCAAAACUGCAUGACUUAUGAUAGAACCAAUUUGAAUUGAAAAAGACGAUAAUACCAAGAUUUUUUGUACUUUUUUACCGAUUUCAUAUGACAUAUUUGAAUAAUCUCACGUUAUAUAAGUAAUUUUUAUUAUUAUUAUUUUUAUAAUGAGUUAUAAAAUCCUUCUUCCUUUCAAUCAUGAAUUAUAUGACUGAUACUAUAACGAAACUGAUGACGAAAGAAAAAAUUGGGAACAUUAACCUUCUAAAAAGGGUUUGUUUAAUAUUCAUAAACAGCUCAGCAACAGUCAAUAGCCAGACAAGUGAGGUAUGAUAGGAUGAAUCACAAAGUUUGAAUAAAAUCAAAUUUAAAGCUAAACCUGAACGUUGACUAGAAGAUAUAAUGAAAUAUAAAAUUAAUCAGCAUUUUUUAUUUUUUAUUUUUAAAAAUCAAAAGAAAUAAUUCAAGCCCUUAUUUUAAUUUUUCUGAUUGUAAUAUAUGAAUUAGUUGUAUGAGGAUUAAUAUUCCGACCACAUUUGAUAUUUUAUCUGUUUUUCUUGUUUUAUUGAAUUUUAUUAAAGUUAUUGACACUGAUGUAUGAUUUUAUUUUGUUAGAAGCAUCAACAGGUGCCUUAAAAAAAAUUCUCCAUCACUUUACCAUGCCAACUUGUUGCCUUCUGUGCGUCUUCUUUUUGUUUUUGUUGCCUCCACUUCUUUAAUGGGAGUCUAGGUGAGAUGUUUCUAUCCCUAGCUACUUUGUCAAAUAUAUAUCUGUUCUAUUAUCUUCCUCGUGAAAGAUAUCGUCGCUCAAAUUAAUAGUAUAAGCAUUAGUUGAGUUAAAUCUUGACGCUAAAAACUCCGAUUUAUUCUUUUUUGUAAUUAUAUUUUUAGACACAAAUACUGAAGCUUUUGAACUUAAUUUGGCAUUAAAAAAAAAAAAAAAAGAUAAAACAUGCUCCUGUCAUCAACCAAAUCAACCCACUUAGAAGCAUUGAUCUUUUUUUUUUUUUUACUAAUCUCACAUAAUAUAACUAACUCUUUUUUUUAAAUAAAAAAAAUGAGUUGUACAAUCCUUCUUUCCCUCAAUUAUGCAUCAAACAAAAGUACUCCCUCCGUACCAUUUUAUAUGUCGCCAUUUGACGGGGCACGGAGUUUAAGAAAAAAAGAAAAAUUUGGUAAAGUUUAUCAAAUUAUUCUUUAUAAAAAAAAUGUGUCAAUAUCUUUUUUUUAAUUAAGUGGGAUCAAUAAGGGUAAAAGGGUAAUUAUAUCUUUAAAAAGUUGUCUAAUAAAAUAAGACGACACUUAUUUUGAGAUGAAUUAAAAAGAAAAUAAUGACACAUAAUUUGAGACAGAGAGAAUAUAAUAUUUGUAUCCAUCUGCCCAAUUGUUACAACAAACAGCUAGCCCCAACUAUAAACUAUCCACUUGGAUUGUGAUAUGUGUGAGUGUUUUAAUUUGUCACAUCAUAGUUCAAGCCUCUAGGUCUGAACUGUGCAUGCAUGCACUUCUAUCUAGCGGUGGACAUGGAAUGAUACGAUCUAAUAUCAGAAAUAUCGGUUGGUUUGAUAUUUUAAAGUUUGAUUUUUUAAUAUUUUAUAAUAUAAUAAAUUGAUAAUCAUAGUUUGAUUAGCUGUAACAUAUGUAUACUUAUAUAAUAGAGAAUUAUGACUUUAAUUUUUCAAGAAACAUCUUAAUUAUAUCAUAUUAACACCUUAUACAUAUAAAAAUAUUCAAAAGAAAGCACAUGUAAUUUCCUUUCAAAUACUAUAAUAUCAAAUUUGCAAUAUAAAAUAUGUUGACCUCGAAAUGAUUUCUAUAUCUAUAUAUUGUACCAUGUCCGUUCAUGCUUCUAUCAAAGGAGAAUUAGAUUUAUAUAAUCUCAACAAUAUCUUUCAUCAAAUCAACCAUCAAAUCAACCGUAAAUCAACAAUAAAUGUCUUUUAGACACAUUUAAAAAAUUUUCAAAUUCAAGUCAUAUUAAUAUUUCUCUUUCUUCUUUUUUUUCUUUCUAUUUUCACCCUUUCUUGAUUUGAAUAGACAUAAUGAUGUGACUUUUAAUUUGGUCUUCAUCGAUAUUUAUGCUCUUCAAUUUUAUAUGUAUAUAAAUAAAUAUUUAAAUUUAUAUAAAAUUAAAUAAAUAGUACAAUUUAUGUGAUAAUUCACGUGAAAUUAUAACGUAAGUGUGAUGUACAUAUUACAGAGGAUGCAUGCGUCAAUUUUUAUCACUUUACAUAAGUAUUUACUUAUACACAUUUAAAAGUAAAAAAAAAAAACAUAUUGGAUAAUUGAGUCCAAAUUAAAGAGAAUGGUCAUGAAUUAUACCUUUUUUAAUAGUAUAAAUAAUAUAAAUAUCAAUUUUUUUGGAAGUAAUUACACUCUCUUCUAUUUUUUUAAUUACUACUUUACUCUCUCUCCCUAUUAAUAUACAUAAUAUAGCCGAUAUAUACAUAACAUUUUAUGUAUAUGUUGAAAUUUUUAUAAUAUAUUUAAAGAGUUGAAAUUGUUUGUAAUAUUAAAAAUAAAUUGUAUAUUUGUGUAAUUUUUAAUUUUUAAUAUGGGUAGAUGAGGACAAAUUGGAGUAAUAGCUAGCUUUGAUAAAGAAACAAAAUUGGUCAAAAAUUACAAAGUAAAUACACGUGAAUAUCACAUGAAAAGUAUGUGUCCUUUUUCCCAAUAUCUUCAAUUCAUUUAUUAUUUGGCCACGUGAACACUUCAUUCAGUUCGAAGAACUUUGGCUAAAAGUUAAAACUACAAAUGGGACACACUCCGUAAAUUUUUGGUUCUGGGACAACUUCGUUUAGGGGUUGUUUGGUAGAGUGCAUUGGCAAAAUUAAUAUAUGUAUUAAUUAAUGUGUAUUAUUAAUAUCUUAUUUGAUAUAACUUAAUUAAUGUAUUAUAUAUUUUAUUGUGUAGUAAGAUGUGUAUUACAAAUAUCAUCCAUUUUUUAUAUAUUAGUAAUGCAAAGCCUUUAUACAUGUAUUAACUUAUUAAAUGACCUUAAUACCCCUCAAUUUUCCUCUCAAAAUAUUUUACUAUUUCUUUUCCCGUCAUUUUAAUUUGCAAUAAUGAAUCUUUUCAAAACAUUUCACAAUUUUUUUCCCACCAUUUUAUUCUACAACAAUGAAUAAUUGAUUUAAAUAAUUAUAACAUAUUUUUGUUUUGCUUCGAGGGUCUUUAAAAAGAUUAAAAAAAAUUAAGACUAUUUCUUAAUUUUUCGUGUUAUAUUUUAUUUUUCUUUCGACUAUGUUAAUCCGUUGGUAUAAUAUUUUAUGCGUAAAGACGAAGGUCUUGCAAUUAAUCUGAAACUUUUAUAUACUAGUUCAACAAUACUAAUUAUAUUUGAGAUGACAAAAAAAUUUUGUUGCAAAAAAAGUGUGUAAAAUCAAAGAAGAGUAUUUUUGUAAACAAACAUUUCUUUUAUAGAAAUUAUAUAAGAUGUAUUAUUUCUUCUACAUCAAACUAAACAAUAUAUAAGAAAUAAUACAUACAUAACUAAUACAAGUAUUAGUAUUACUAAUAUACUAUAUUUUGCAUUAAUCUUAUACAUUCUUUCAAAUGAUCCCUUAUUAUACACUAGAAUACAACUUGUCACUUAAAAUGUCACAAUGAAUGUUUCUAGAAUUUUUUUAUUUAAAUUUUUUUAAAAUUCAUAUUAAAACAACUAGUAAAUGUUAUUAUAGGGAAAGCCAAGAAAAAUGGUAGCACUUUUUACAAGAAAGAGAUUACUCUUUAAUAUCCUAAUAUUAUUCAAAAUCUAAAUUUGACACCAAAAAAAUCCCGUGCAGCUCUUAGUUCUUACUCCUAAUAAUUCAUGAUAAUAAAAUAUUCAAGGUUUACAUAAUGUGUUAAUAUUGACAAUAGUAUUGAAUUUGUCACUUUAAAAGAUAGUGAAUUUGGAUCCAUGAUUUUCAACUCCCAAACACUUUAGAAAUUGUUCGAAAAAACAUGUGAUAAGAGAAAAAAAGACUAAACAUAUGGAGGAUUAAAAAAAGACUUUAAAAAUAUAUGGGACGGAGAAUUAGUGUUAGUAGUUGUUCAUUCAACAUAUAUAAUGCAAAUCACAAUAAACACAAAAUUGGGUGUUUUGGUCAAACGAAAUCAAUUAUUAUUUAAAUAUUGUUGUAAUAUUGAUUAUAAUAUUUAAAAAUUAAGGAGUUUUAAAAUAUAUAAGAAAAAAAUAUAUUAAAAAUGAAUAUUGAUAGAUUUUUUUUUAAUGUGAGAAAAGGAGUCUUAAAACAUAUAUGAUAAGACUAAAAAAAGAAAAUAUCAAUUUUUUUCCAUCAAAACAAAAAAUUAGUACUUAACUUAGACGUGGAUUUAAUAUAUGUAAGAGUAAAAAGGAAAAUAUCAAUUUUUUUCCAUCAAAACAAAAAAAUAGUACUUUGUAUUUAACUAUGGCAUGAAAUGGUGCUUUCCAUGGAAAUUAACAAAUAGCAAUAGACGAUUAUGGACAAUUUUUUAAAAGUAUUCUUUAAUUUAGGAAAUCCUUCAACUAUUACUUUUUUUUAGUACAUCUACAUUAUUACCUUCAUUAAAAGUUUUUUAAAAUAGAUAAAAUUAUCUUUUUAUUAUUUUAUUUUAUUUAAUUAUAUUAAUAAUAUUAAAUAUUGAUUAUAAUUAAUGAAUCUAAGGUAAGAUGUAUAAGAAUAAUUAAGGUAGACUUCUUUUUUAUUUAUAAAUCAUAUAUGUCCUAGUUAUUUUAUUGGAGAAAAUUGAAAGUGUUGUAGUAUAAACUAUAUUUUGGUUACAUAUAAGUGUCCUUUUUAGGCAAAGUGUUUUAGAAAUUCUUUUUGUGUAUGAAUCAUACACGUCUUAAUAAUUCCUCGAAAAAAGUAAAGAAGUGUCGUAGGGUCUUAUUUAAUUACUAGUUUAGGUGUAUACGGCUCGCGCGUGUACCUCACUUUAUUGAGUUCACACGUUAUACUAAAUAAGUUUUUUGUUAAAUAAUAAAGAUGAAUACAAUAAUUAAAUUCAACAUCUUUUGGAGAAUUUAUUUAAUUAAAUCUAACCUUUACAAAAAAAAUUGUCAAAGUCGAUCGACAUUCAUCUACCACCUGUAAACUGCAACAAAACAAUACGAUGAUAGAAACAUCAAAACAAUAUAAUUAAGUCUAACCUUUAUACAAAUUUUUUUCUCUAAGUCGUCCGACACUCAUCUACCAUUGUAAACUAUAACAGAAUAAUAUGAUAAUAAAAAUAUCAAAAUAAUACAACUAAAAUUAAUCUCUACACAAAAAAAUUCUCAAAAUAGAGAUAUAAAAACAAUACAAUUAGACCUAACCUUUACCUACAAAAAUUUCUCAAAGCCGAGUAAAUUAAUUGAAUGAAAAUAAAGAAAAUAUAUAUGCACACACGUUGAACUGUAUUAUUAAGCAUCUACCAAUCUAGAGCAUCAAUCAUAUUUUUUCAAUAAGUAAAUCGAUUUCUUCUCUAGUUUAACGUGCAUCUCAAUAUAUUUAUAAAAGUAUUUUCUUAAUACAUUCCUAUUUUAAUAGUAUUUCUCUAUCCUAUUUUUAGGAGUAUUUUUCUAAUUAAUCACUACAAAAAAAAUAUUAACUAAUUCUCUUUUUAUAUAUUUUAGGAUUCAGGUUAAUAUAAUAUAAAAAAGAAAGUCAAACUAUUACCCAUUAAAAAUAUAGAAAUGCUUUUUAUACGAAAUUCCAACUUUUGUACUUCUUUUUAUUUUUAUAAGAGAUAAUGCAUCCCUCCGAACUUGUCUUUCCAACUUACUUUAUCACUUAAACUAACAUUUCAUUUAUUUACCCCCUUAACAUCUUUGGAGUGAAUUAAUUUCACCCCUUAAUAUAUAAUUCCACUCUCAUGAGCGAGAGUACAUCACACUCACUGACACGUCAGCGCCACGUAAAUAAAGUAUUUUUUUUAUAUUAUAUAUAUAUAUAUACAUAUAUAUUUACAUAUUUUUAAAUAUAUAUAAAAUAUUUUAAAUAUAAAAUAUUUUAAAUUUUAAAAAUAACCCCAUCCCCCAUUUUCCAUCUUCUUCAUAACCCCCCAUCCCCCCCUCUCCCGUCCACCACCACACCUGCACAUACCCCGUCCACCCCAGUUCACCCCCACACUGCCAUACCUACACACACCCUCAUCCAUCUCCGUCCAACCCCAACAUCCACAACUGCACACACACGCCAUAAUUUUUGGCGAAUUUUCGUCGAAAAACUCUAUUACCACCAUAAAAAAAUACCAUAAAAUAGUGAUAAAAAAACCCAACACCUGGUAAAUUAGAUCAAAUCAACACCAAAUUCUCUAAAAUCAACAACCAAACAUUCAAAUCAUGUCAAUUUUUUAAUUUUUAAAUUCAAUUUCAUUUCUUUUUUUAUUGGGGAUGAAGGAGGAGAAAUUGGAAGUAGGGGUGUGAUUUGGUAAUUGAAGAAGUAAUUGGGGUUAGAUUUAGGAGGGGGGUGUUGGUGGUGGUUGUUGGCGGGUUUGGGAGGGACUAGGAUGGGGUGGGAUGGCCGGGGUGGCGGGGGGAGGAGUGUUAGAAGAAGGAGAGAAAUAUAUAUGUAUAUAUAUAUAGAUAUUAGUAUUUUUUAAAAAAAAUUACCGUUCACGCAUUUCUUUUUCUUUUUUUUUUUUUAAAUGUCAUGUCAGUAUAAGGUGUGAAAAUAAUUCAGUUGAAAGAUGUUAAGGAAGAUAAAUAAUUAUUCAUAAAAUUUAAGUACUAAGUGAGUUGGAAAGAUAAGUUUAGAAGGUUUUGAUGUAUUAUCUCUAAAAUUAAAAACAAAAGAAAAAUGUGAAGCCAUAAGAUGACCUUGACCUUCCAUUCUAAUUACCAUACCUAGGAGAAAAGGCUAGAACCUGCCCUAUGGGAUAUUUAAUUUCCAUUUCUUGUAGGAAAUAUUAUGUGCAAAAGUGCCCAAGUUUUCAAAAGUUACCUUCAAUAAACAAAGAUGUAAAAGAACCUUUUUCCAUAUAUUUUAGGAGUCUUUAAUUCAAAUACAUUUCUUUCUAUAUAUUUUAGGAGUUCAGUUAAUAUUAUAAAUAUAAUUAAAUAAUAAUUAUGAGAAAAAUAGUGAAAAGACAAUUUUGUCAAAAGCAAAGACUUUUAAUAAAGGGUAAAAAGUUCAAAUCAUUUUUCUAAGGAUUUUUACACUUUUAAUAUAUUAUAUUAUAUAUAGAUUAUAGAUUAUAGAUUAUAGAUAUAGAUAUAGAUAAUACUUAAUAUUAAUUAUAACUAAUGAGUUCAACAUAUCUAUCUAUAGUAUAUUAAAAGUGUAAAAGAUAUUAGAAAUGUUGUUUGAACUUUUUUUUUCCUUCAUUGAAAGUAUCUGCUUCAGACAAAAUUUUCUUUUUACUAUUUCUGCUAAUAUUAAGAAUUGAAAAAUAAUUAAGUAUUUAUAGUAAAACAUUUUCUUAUUAGAAGUUAUCAAAUUCAUCACAACUAAUUUUUUUUUCAUUAGUUUAAAAUUAAUUAAAUAUUUAUCAUAAUACUUCUCCUUUAGAAGUCAUCAGAAUUCAUGAAAGCUAAUAUUUUUUUCAUUAAUUUAAGAAUUCUAAAUCAACUAAAUUUGAUUUUAAGAAGAUUUAUCUAGAAAUAAAUAUAAAAGCGUUUAAAUAAUAAAAAUUUAGGAAAUACCAGUUUUUGCUUUAGACAAAAUCGUCUAUUCACUAUUUUUUUUUAAUAUUUAAAAGUUGAAAAUUUAUUAAAUAUAUUUGUGGUAAAACCUUUCCUUAUUAGAAGUCAUCGGAAUUAAUGAUAACUAAUAUUUUUUUUAUUAAUUUAAGAAUUCUAAUCAACUAAAUUUAAUUUUAAAAAGAUUUAAAAAAUCUAUAAACCUACAUCUACAAUCUACAUCUACAAUAUAUUAAAAAUGUGAAAACUCAUAAAAAAAUAAUAGUUGUUAUGAAAUAAUAAAGAAUAAAUAAGAAGAGUAGAGAAAGAAUAGAAAGUAAUUCUUAUUUCUCUUGCAGGAUGAAUUACAACGAAUAAAACCCCUUUAUUUAUAGGGGAAAACUAAACUUGGGGAUUUGUAACUUUUUCAUAAAUAGACAUGCACAAUAUAUGGUAAAGUAGAUAUUCACUAUAUAUAGUAAAAUAGACAUUUACUAUAUAUGGUACAUUUAUAACACUCCCCCUUGAAUGUCUAAUUGAUAGAUAAUACGCAUAUAUGUUGCUUCAUUAAAAACCCUACAAGGAAAACCCAGUGGUAUAAAACCUCGUAAGGCAAAAAGAGUACAGCGCGUAUUAACUCCCCUUAAUGAGAACAUUCUUGAACCUUUGCAUUCCGAUCUUGUGCACCAUCUUCUUGAAAGUUGCAGUUGGAAGAGACUUGGUGAAUAAAUCAGCCACAUCUACAAUAUAUUAAAAGUGUGAAAACUCAUAAAAAAAGUAAUAGUUGUUAUGAAAUAAUAAAUAACAAAUAAGAAGAGUAGAGAAAGAAUAGAGAGUAAUUCUUAUUUCUCUUGAAUGAUGAAUUACAACGAAGAAAACCCUUUUAUUUAUAAGGGAAAACUAACCUUGGGGAUUUGUAACUUUUUCAUAAAUAGACAUUCACAAUAUAUGGUAAAGUAGGUAUUCACUAUAUAUAGUAAAGUAGACAUUCACUAUAUAUGGUACAUUUAUAACACUCCCUCUUGAAUGUCUAAUUGAUAUAUAAUACACAUAUAUAUUGCUUCAUUAAAAACCUUACAAGGAAAACCCAAUGGGAUAAAACCUCUUAAGGGAAAAAGAGUACAACGCGUAUUAACUCCCCUUAAUGAGAACAUCCUUGAACCUUUGUAUUCCGAUCUUGUGCAGCAUCUUCUUGAAAGUUGCAGUUGGAAGAGACUUGGUGAAUAAAUCAGCCACAUUAUCACUUGAACGAAUCGGUUGUACAUUAAUAUCACCAUUCUUUUGGAACUCAUGUAUAUAGAAAAGCUUUGGUGAAAUGUACGUCGUGCUAUCUCCUUUUAUGAAUCCUCCCUUAAGAUGUGCUAUGCAUGCUGCAUUAUCUCUGUAUAAAACUGUGAGUACAUUGUCACAUUUCAAAUCACAUUUUUCUCGAAUGAGAUGUAUCAUGAACCUCAACCACACACAUUCUCGGUUUGUUUCAUGAAUAGCUAUUCUCUCAACAUGAUUCGAUGAAGUGGCUAUGAUAGACUGCUUUGUAUAUCUCUAAGAUAUGACAAUACCACCACAUAUAAACACACAGCUUGUUUGAGAUCGAGCUUUAUGUGGGUCAGAUAAGUACCCAACAUCAGCAUGUCCAAUAGAACGGAACUACAAUCUUGCUAACAAAUUAACUGAAAAGGCUAUCUCAAGCCUUAUAGUAUUUGCAAGAUAUAUGAGUACACCAAUUGCACUAAGAUAUGGUACUUCAUAACUAAUUCAAAUUGAUAUAUUUCACAUUUCAGCAAAUAAUGUAUUGCUUUAGAAAACUCUGCAAGAGUUUCAAUAAUAUUCAAACCAUCAACUUAUUCCUUAUAAGGAUAAUAAAUAAGUUUCUCGAAAACUUUAUAUGGUUUAGGCAUUCUGAAUCCUUUAGGGAUUUUCAUCUAGAUUUCUGUCAAGUGACAAUAUUCAAUAUUUCACGUGUGACAUCUUCGAGUGGACUGCAAAUCAAAUAAGUUUUAUGUUUAUCAAGAUGCAUCUUUUCAUGUCACUUAAUAAGUGUUUCUACGUCAUCAUGCUUAAAUUAACGUAGAAUUCAAAUCCUCGUAAUCUUUCACAAUAUUGCUCCAAUAUUGUAUCAAAUAUAUUGAUGAUAUUUCAUUUCGUAUCGGUUCACAGUGUGACAUAACAUUUUGAGAUCUCAUCACUUUAUUAUUUUCAGGUACCUGAACCUCUCAUAAGGUUUCAUGAAGUGUUAUGUCGUAUGCUCUUCAAGAGUACAUUGCCUUCUUAUUAUGAUUUUUUGCUCAUUAUCCUUUAUAAGAAUUAUUUCAUUUGGAAUCGAUUGGUCUACCACACUUCAUAUAUGCAUAGACUUUGUCCUUUAGGGACACAAAAUAGGAGCACUUGUAGCUUAAAUAUGAGAUAUGCAUUCGGCAUUUUACUUGAACUAUCUUUUGAAUGAGGAUAUGAUGAUAAUUCCUAAUAUAUUUCAUAGCCGCUUAUAAUCUCCCCCUUAUGUUAGGAAAACUAACAUACAUCCUCCAUUUUAUUUGAGGAAUCCAUCUUUGUGCAUCAUGGUAUAUUCAUUAAUCGUAUAUUGCACAUUAAAACUAUUAGAUGAAAUAGUUGGUUCUGACCUUAAACCAAUUGGGAGGGAAGAAAUAAUCAUAAUUUAUUGGUCUAAUGCAUACAAGUGUUAUUGUAUGCAACAUAUCAUAUUUCAGACCAACACAUGAAGUUUUGUUUUUAUUAGCAAUGAUUUAGCUAUUUAUCGAAGGCAUUCAAUGUCAAACCAUCGUCAUCAAGAUGAAUUGUCUUGAUUCUAUAAUCUAAAAGUUAUACUCUUAACUCAAUUUUAUCAAGCAAGCAACUUUAUGAAUGUCAAACUGCAGGUUGACAAUAAAUUACACAGUGAUCAUCUUAUUGAUGCAUCUUAAUAGAUCACAUGAUAGGUGAACGGGCCCUUAUUCACCCUUUAUACUUUUCAGAUUUUAAGGAAUUCAAUCCCAAAAUUAAUUGGUCCAACCAACUUAUCAUGAGAACAAACAACAUUAAAAGUAAUGAAGAAUUUUCUAAUUCUUCAAUCUAUGUUCAAUACUCAGUAUGCAUAUCUUUGGGAUAUCGCAAUCGUUCAUGUCAAUUUAUGAACUUUUAUUAGAGCAAAUUCCAAGUUUACCAUGACAUGUAAACUUUUACUUUAAUAAAUUUUAGUUUUACUAUUACAUGAAUAAAUUUCAGAUUUUACUUUAGAAUUAGAUUUCAAAAUAACUCUUCUCAAUUAUUUUGCCUCUUACGGAGGUGGAUUGUGAUUUCCUUACAACCACGAGCACGUUCAAAUUUAUAUACAGUCACAUUUACCCCCAGGGUCUAGAUCUGUAUUUAUAAUAAUCAAAAUUCUCAUUCCCGAAGAAUAGAAUAUAAUCGUUCCUUAGACAUAUCAAUUUAUGAUAGCUUAGAACCUUCUCUUUCAAGAUAUUGUUAGUUCAAGAGCAAAUCGAGGCAUGCAUAUAAUGUAGAGAAUUUUUCUCUUAACAUAUCUUUCAGAGUACAGCAUAUAUUGCUACCACAUUCACUUUAAAAAUGGAGCAAAUUGUCAUCUUUCAGACUAAUCAUAUAGUGCUACCGCAUUCACUUCAAGAAUGGAGCAAUUUGACUUAUCAUAUAUUGCAACCAUAUUCACUUCUUGGAAUGGAGCAUAUUCAGAGGGAUAGAUUCAUGUCUAUUUAUCAAAAAUACAUUAUUUUGCCUUAGUCAUCGUUAUAUUAUCAAUAUGGUGUAUUGAGAUUCAAACUCAACGUCUUAUUCAUAUAAAAGCGUCUUAUGCAUAAAUCGAUGGGACUUGAACCCAUGCAUGCAUUCAUAUCGUACUUUUGGGAGGAUGACCAUCUUCAAGUGGUCAAAUAUUUCUUUUAGGCUAUUCCACAAAACAAGUGGAUCCUUAGUAGUAAGGUAUUCAAUUUUCAGAAUUUCGUCAAGAUGAUGACGCAACAAAAUCAUAGCCUUAGCAUGAUUUUAAUGAGAUGUUGUAUUUUUUUCUUAUGGCGUCUCCAAGACCCAUAACAUAUAAGUGGAUUUCAGCAUUCAAUACUCAUUAAAGGUAAUUUUUACUCGAGGCAACGAACUCAGAUUUUGUAAGAUUAUUAGUAAUAUGAAAAGAAAGAAAAUAAUACCUUAGCCUUCAAAUUUGAUACGACAGAGUCUCGUACUGAUAGCGUGUUAUGAAAUAAUAAAGAACAAAGAAGAAGAGUAGAGAGAGAAUUGAGAGUAAUUCUUAUUUCUCUUGAGGGAUGAACUACAAUGAAGAAAAUCGCUUUAUUUAUAGGGAAAAACUAACCUUGGGGUUUGUAACUUUUCCAUAAAUAGACAUACACAAUAUAUGGUAAGGUAGGUAUUCACUAUAUAUGGUAAAGUAGAAAUUCAAUAUAUAUGGUACAUUUAUAACAAUAGUUUAAAACUAACUAAAAUUUGAUUUUUACAAAGUUGCCCAAAUAUUAGUAUAGCACGUGUUACUACUAUUUAUGAUGUGUAUUGUUUUUGCUUCGUAUAGAAUUAAAACUUGAUUUAUUUACUUUACAAAACUGCUUUUUAUUUCUUCUUUUUUGUACUUCUUUUAAAAAAUCAAAGUUGGUUUGGGAUUUUUGCUUUUAAAUAAGUUAAUAUUAUGCAUUAUUUAGGUUGGGACUUUUUAUUAAGUCAAUUAUACAUUAUUUAGAUUUUUUGAAGUUAAUUAAAGUUCUUAUUUCAUCUACAAGAACUCACAGUAUUUAAUACUUCUAAAUCAAUUAAAAUUUCACCUUAUAUAAAAAGAACUUUUACAACUCUGUUUAAGUGAUAUUUUCAAUCAAAUUUUAUAAGAAACAUAAACAUUGGCUAUUUUAUUUUUUAUUUUCUUCUUAUUUUGAUUUUGAUUCAAGUCAUAUUAUUACGUUCAUUGUCAUCAUCAUAGUUUUUUUUCUUUAUUUGAUUUUCAGUUCACUUACUUCUUUCUCUUUGUUUUUACUUUUCCAGGUUCCAAAACAUGCGUAGGGUAAAAAUAAGUUUAUGUAUAGAAUUUUCUUAUUCAAUGAAAUCUUGAUAGUAUCUAUGAUUAAGACAAUAAAUUUGUUUGUGAUUUAAGGUAAGUUUUUAAAAUUUUUAGUAUAUUUUUAAAGUAUACGAUAAAUAAAUUAUCAUCUAUUGUUGAUAAAAAACUAUUAAUUGAUAAAUAUUUUGUGAUUUUUAUUUUUAAUGACUCAUGUGCAAUUAAUAAUUUAAAAUUAACUUAUUUGCAAUUUUAAAAUCCUAAAAUAUAUAGUAAGAAAGACAAUAUUAUCAAUAGUGUAGGUAGAUUUUACGUGAAAAAAGAACUCCUAAUUCUAUUGUUUCACGAACUCUAUGUGUACGCUGCAUAUGUUUAAGCUCAAAUCUGAGAUGUCAAAAUACGUUUCUUAAGAUUAUCCUUCAAACCAGUCCCAAACCAGUCAAAAAGUUGUCCACAACAAUAACCUGCACAAUUAUAAAGAAGUUUCUCACUGCAUAAUAAGGUGGAUCCAUAAGGGCAUCAUUCUAUUAGCUGAUUUUAUUUUACUCUAUUAAGCAUUCACUCGGAAGACCCAUGAAAACACUAAAAGUAUUUCCAUACACAAACCCUAGGGGUGGGGUGGGGGGGAUAAGAAAUAAAUAAUAGGAUUAUAAGUUAGAAGAUACCGAUGAGCCGAUAGAUGAUUGAAAGUUAGAACAAGAAGUUACCUCAUUCUUCUCAUUCUCCAUCAGUUUGUCGACUAGGUGAGAACCAAUAAAUCCAGCUCCUCCAGUAACCAAAAGUUUCAUUUUAGAAUGCAACCAGAAAUAAAAUAUUUUAGCAGACGUGGAUUAAUCGUCUUUUCACUAUUUUUCUAAUAUUUAAGAGUUUGAAAAUUAAUUAAAAUACUUAUAGUAAACAUUUUCUUAUUGGAAGUCAUCACAAUUAGUUACAACUAACACAUUUUUCAUUAGUUUAAAAAUUCUAAAUCAACUAAAACUGAUUUUAAUAACCAUUGAAAAAUAUAGAAAUAAAUAUGAAAUCAUUAGCAUAAGAAAAUACAAGAAAUAUCAAAUUUGUAAAAGUUUUAAGUAAGUAAUCAAAGAUUUUCUAAAGAUAUAAAUUUAAAAAUAAGAAAAGAUUUUAAAUAUAGAAAAAAUAAAAAAAAUAGCCGUAAUAUAAAUAUGAUUUAAACCGGUGCGUCUCUCUUAGCCCCUAGUAGCAAGGAAAAGAUGUACUGCAUGACAAACGCAAAAGUACCAUUAACCACUUGAAACUUCUACGCGGUAAAAUAUAUAUGGGCUUACAGUAUCAUUAAGAACCUUCGUAAUACACAAAAUCAUGUAAUUUCAAAUCAUCAAAAGUUACAUGUGCGAAGCAUGUGCGGCUAAACUAGUAUACUAGACAUCAAAGGGAUAUCUGUUAUUUUUCUAUCUCAGUUUAUGUGACAUAAAUAUAAUUGAGAUAAUUAAUCAUAAUAAAUUAAAUUUUUUAUUAUUAUAAUUUAUAAUUUUUUUUCUAUUCCAAUUUAAGUAAUACUAAUAUAAUUUCGAGAGUCAAUCGAAUAUUUUAUAUUUUUUAUAUUCUAAAGUUGUUAAUUAUGUAAUUUAUAAAGCUUUUAACAUAAUUUUUUAAUAAGAUAUUAAUAUUACUUCUCUGUCUCAGUUUACGUGUCUUCUUAUUUUUAAAUAAUAUUAGUUUAAGUAUACGUGCCUUGCGCGUGUACCUUACUUUAAUGAGUUCAAACAUUACACUAAAUACAAUAUUUAUUUAAAUAAUAAAAAUAAAUAUAAUAAUUAAAUUUAAUAUCUUUUGAUUAUGUAAAUAUGGAGAAUUUAUUUAUUAAACUUAACCUUUACCGAAAAUAUUUUUAAAAGUCGAUCGACAUUCAUCUACCAUCUGUAAAUUGCAACAAAAUAACACAAUGAUAGAGAUAUCAAAAUAAUACAAUUAAAUCUAAUCUUUACGCAUAAUUUUUUUUCCAAAGUUGUCUGACACUCAUCUACCACCUGUAAACAGUAACAAAAUAAUACGAUAAUAGAGAUAUCAAAAUAAUACAACUAAAACUAACCUUUACAUAAAAAAAUUUCUCAAAGCCGACAAAUAUUUAUCUAUCACCUGUAAAUUGCAACAAAAUAAUACGAUAAAAGUGAUAUAAAAAAUACAAUUAAACUUAAAUUUUACACACAAAAAUUUUUCAAAGCCGAUCGAGAUUCAUCUACGAACUGUAAAUUACCACAAAAUAACAAACUAAUAGAGAUAUUAUGAUAAUACAAUUAAACCUAGCUUUUACCUAGAGAAAAAUUCAAAGCCGGCCCAUAUUCAUCUAGCAUCUAUAAAUUAAAAUGAAAUAAUAAGAUAAUAAAAAUAUCAACCGACAUUCAUCUACGACUUGUAAACUAUUUAAAAAAAAUAAUAUAAUAGUGAUCACAAAGCUUCGAUCUUGAUCCAACUAAUUCUUGUCUGAACAAAAAUUUUGACCCUAAAAAAUGAUUUUAAAUGAAAACAAAGAAGAUAUAUAUAUAUAUAUACUAGUUUAACGUACAUCUCAAUAUUUAUAGAAGUAUUUCCUUAAUAGAGUCCUAUUUUAGGAGUAUUUUUCUAAUCGAACAGUAGAAAGAAAAAUAUUAAUUAAUUCUCCUACCAUAUAUUUUAGGAGUUCCAUAUAUUUUAGGAAAUCUAAUAGAAAAUAAAAUAUUAAUUAAUUUUUCUACCAUAUAUUUUAGGAGCCCCAUAUAUUUUAGGAAGUCUAGUUAAUAUAAUAAAAAUAAUUAAAUAAUAAAUUAAAAAUAGUGAAAAAAUAAUUUUGUCUAAAGAAGAGUCUUCUAAUGAAGGCAAAAAGUCCAAAUCUCUUUUCUAAGAGUCUUCACACUUUUGAUAUAUUAUUAUAUGGCUAUAUAGAUUAUAGAUAUAGAUAUAUUACUUUAUGUCUUUUUUGUUCCAUCGUAAUUUAUAUGACACUAAUAUAUUUUUGAUAGUCAACUGAAUAUUUUAUGUUGACAUAUCAUUUUGUGUCUAUUUUACUUUUUUUAUGAAAUAUUAUUAAUUUUUUUAUGCUUAAAUAACCAUAAAAAUUAAUUAGGAGUGAUAUAAUAAUAUCACGAUUGAAACAGCGAAGCAGACAUGUCUUAAAUGACUUAUAAUAACUAAUAAGAAGUGAUAGAACAAAAUUACUAUAAAAAAUACUUGUGAAAAAAAUUUAAAUGAAUCUCAUAUAAAAUAUCAAGUUAAUUUAAAACAUCAAGAGUUGAUUUAUCAUUUUAUGUCUAAUUUAUCCUUUUUAUUAAAUAUUAUUAAUUUUUUAAUACUUAGGUGACUUAUAAUAAUUAACUAAAGGUGAUAUAGUAAAAUUACGAUUGAAGCAGUGAAGAAGGUAGCAUAAAACAUCAAGAGUUAAUUUAUCAUUUUAUUUCUAUUUUAUUUUUAAUUAAAUAUUAUUAAUUUUUGAAUACUUAAACGACUUAUAAUAAUUAAUUAGGAAUGAUACAGGAAAAUUAUGAUUGAAGCCGGUAGCACAAUCAAAUAUAUCGACCUCGUGCCUGCUUGUUGCCCUUUAUUAUUAGUAUUAGUAUUUUAAUAUUUUCCUCAAAAGUUUAUGUUGAUUUUCUUUGGUCAUGUGUGUCGACAAAUGUAGAUUCCUAUAUAUUUUGAUAAUUUUUCAUAAGAUAUUUGAUAGCUAUUUUGAGGCUCGAUUAAUUCAAUUGAGCUGAAAGGUUUUACUACUAAAAAUAAGAAAUACAAAACGCUUAUAAUUUUACUACAAUUUUUGGUGGUGCAUUGACUAAUAUAUGAGCAGUAGUCUAAUUUAAAUUGUUAGAAAAAAUAUAUUUCUAUUAUUUAAUUAUAUUCAAAAUAUGCUUACUCAUAUGUUAGGUCUGAUUUUUUUUCACGAGUCAAAUAUACAUAAAAAAAAUUUGAUAAUGUUUGUCGAUAAGAUUUGAUUUCAAAAUUUCUACCUAUUCUGAAAUCAUAUUGAAGUGUGUGAGCAUCUCAAUCUCCUAUUCCAAAUAUAUUUUUUUUCAUUACUAGUAUUAGUACCCGCAUGAUGCGCGGUCGAUAUUAAAUGAAAUUAAUUAUAAAUAUUAUUAUCUUAUUGAUUUUAUAUAAUAAAAAAUUUAUUCAAUAUCAUUCACAUAUUUGAAAUUAAUAAAUUUAUGCAAUACGAAAAAUAAUUAUUAAAAUAUUAAAUUUAAUAUCAUUAAUUAUAUAAAACUUAAACAUUUCUUUUCGAAAGUUAAUAUCCGCGUGCAAAUAAUAUUAUAUUAUAAUAUAAUUAUUUGAGAAUAUUAAUAAUAUUGUGAUCUAUAUUGAUUUAUUUUGUAAAAAAAAUCAUAUGAUUACAAAAGAAAAUACAUAUUUAACAUAAUUAUUAUUAAUUAAGUGACUUACUUCUAAGUUUAGUUAGAAAAAUAAAGAACUAAUGAAAGAUAUGCUUUAGAGUUAUGCACGUGAAGCUUCUUUGUAAAAUUUUAACUUGAAAUUUAAAUUCUUUUAUAUUAAAUAUUUCAAUUUGCACCCUUUUAUCAAGAAGAAGAAAGGAGUUCCCCUUCUCUUUUCUUGUCUUAAUAGAUUUUUCUUUCAUAGUAGAUUUUGGAUUCCUUUGCACGAUCUUAGCCAUAGUAUAUUUUUGAUAAAUUUAAAAUAUUUUUGCAUCAAGACAAAUAUUUUGAGCAAAGUCUCGAUAAUAGUCAAUUUUUUCUCUCUCAUAUUUUUUUAUUAUCAUUUUUUCAACAAAUAACUUAUAACAUUAUCUAAAGUCCUAACAUGUUUGCACGAUUUCACAAUGUUCACUUAUUCUCUUAUGAUAAUAGACCAACAAAUAUUAAUGAAUCUCAUUAUAUAUUAUUUUUUUGAAUAAAAGGUUUAGUUCUUCAUAGGUUUGAAUACUUACUCUUCAACUCUAUUUUCGAUCAACCCUAUCAUACUUUCUCAAUUUACUCAACUUGAAUGAAAUUAUAAAUAUUAAUCACUAUCAAAAUUGAAUUCCCUCCUAUCUUAGAACAUUCAACUAAUACUUAACCCCUCAUGUUCAUCAGUACAAUAAGAUAUUAAUCUUAUUCAUCUUUAUCCUUUAUAUUGUACAAAGUAGAUCAAAAUAAUCAUUGUACCAAAAGAUCUACAAUAUUCUAAAAUUAGAGUUACAAAUACAAAGAUAAACAUGGUUGAACUCAUUGUCUGUUUAUAUCGACUAAAACAAAAAAAAAAAAGAAAGAAAGUUUGUAGCAUAGUAUUUAUAAAUAACAAAUGAUAAAUGACCUUUACUAUCAAAUUAGUACAAUAUGCUACGUAAAAGUAAAAUAAUAUUUACAGUAAGAAUUUAAAUAUAAUGAAUUUGAAAAAAUCAAUAUUCGUAAUUGAUUUAUUGAAUUUGAGCAUUGCCCAUUGGGCAUCAGCCACAAGAUACUCACUCAAAUUUUGAUCUUCGAGAUAUCGCUUUUGAGAUAGUAAUCCUAGUGUCGGAUAAAUUUUAUAGAUAGUUAUACAACUAUCAUUUUUUUACUAAGGUCACUUAACUAUCAUUCCUAAUACAAUAUCACAAAAUUUUUAAUAUACUAUUAAAAUCACACAAUUUAAUUUAUAAAUAAUUGUUAAUCAUAACAUAUAGAAAUAUAGUAUAGACAAAUCAAGUGUUAAUCCUAAUAUAUAGAAACAUAAUGGAUUAGUAAUUUAGUAUCAUAGUUUAUUAAUUUUUGAAAUCAUAUUAUUAUCUCACUAAAAUCUAAAGUAACAAUAUUUGCAAUGCAAGAAAAUCAACUAUCUAAUAUCAAUAUUAGUUUCUUCAUAUUUAAUGUAUAACUUGUAAAUUUUUAUGUUAUUGCUAAAAUUCUCAUUGUACAUUUCGACCGAGAUGAAUUUUUAUAAGUCUUUAAAAAUGUAUGAAAUAUUAAAAGAUCACUAACUUAAAUCUUCAAAGAGUACAGAUUAUAUUUUUUUUUUAUAAAACACAAAGUACAUGAAUACUGACUCAUAAAUUUUUCACUAAACAUGUAGAAAAUAAAACGAAUACGCAACAUAACCUGUAUAUUUAAUUGACUUUAUAAAUCAAGAAAAAUCUAUUCUAAAACAAUACUCAAGGUAAAUUGAGAUUCUAGCGAUUAUCAGGACAAGAUAAGUUGUGGCAAAAAUCACUUGCACAAUUCAUCUUCUCCAAUAUGUUAUGGCAGAAACUAAUUAGCGUUUACUGAGUGUAUCCUUCUUAUAUAGUGGUAAAUUUUUAUGGCAUUAGAAAUUCUAGAUUAAUUGUUGUUGGUACAAUAUUUUCAUAUAUAUGAGAAUAAUUGUUAAUUGAUUAUUCAUUUUCUAUUUAUAUGUUUCAAUCAAUUUUGUCAUGCUUCCUUAAUUGACUUACAUUGAAGGAAAUCAUAAAUACUUUUUGUCAUAUAAAUAUUCAUUCUAUAGUAAUACUUUAAUUGCAUAUAUUCUAAUUUAUUAGUAACUCACACCUACAUUUCAUCAUAUAAAAAUUAUUAUAAAUUUUUAUUAUUAAGAAAUAUUUAUUCCUAAUUCAUUUUAUUGAUCUGCACAUUUAAAUUUUUAUAUAAUAUAAUUUAAUCUUUUUUAAUUAAUGUUUGUUCAUCAAAACGAAGUAUCUUUUUCAAAUUUGAUUAUUUUAAAAUUCAAAAUUAUUCUUACAAACAUAUAUAAGGUUAUAUAAUUAGUCAAUUAAAGAAUAAUUUUGUAAGGCAAAAUUUUAUUUGACUUCAAAUAUUAGUUAGGACUAUGUAAUUUUAAUAGUUAUUUUCAAUAAACAUUAUGCAAUCUUUUCUGUGUAGUAAUAUUCAUUUUUUAAAAAAAUUAAUAUUCAUUUAUUUUCAAUCUAUUCUCCUUUUAAAUUCAAGACUAUCUUUUAUUCAUUUCCUAAUAUAGAAUGAUAGUGUAAUUACUCAUUGGUGGUUAUCCUAAAUUAUGAAAAUCCUUUCAUAAAAUAUGAAUGCAUAUUAUUUUAAAUAUGGAUUACUUAAAAUAUAUCGAAUGAAAAUCCUUCCAAUAAAUAUGAAUGCAUAUUUUUGGAAUAAAAUUACUUGAUAUAUAUUGAAAUAAAUUUCUUCCAUUUUGUAGUCCAAUGUUACCAUUUGAGUGAUCACAUAUUUUUCAUAAUAUUUUUAAUUUUAGAAUAACUCUUUGAUUAUUAUAUAUUUUUUUCCAUAUAAGUUGUUUUAUUAAUAAUUGAUUAUUCUCUUAAUUGAUAUUUCUUGGUAUUUUCUUGAUUUAGUCAAUUGUGAUCAAAUCAUAAAUGUUCUUUUUUUUCUAUAUAAUAUUAUUAUUUAAAUUAAUUAUACACACAUUUUGAUCGAUUACAUCUUUUUCAUAAUAUUUUUAAUUUUGGAAGGACUCAUUUGUCAUAAAAAUCUUUUUCAUAUAAGUUACUUGAUUAUUAAAUUAGUUGUUCUCUAAUUAAUUUUUUUGUAAUACUUUUUUAUUUACUAAAUUGUAGUGAAAUCAUAAAUGUUUUUAAAAUAAUAUUAUUAUUUAAAUUAAUUAUGUAUAUUUUUUUAGGGAUAACAUUUUUUAAUAAUAUUUUUUAAUUUUGAAAUUUUUAUAAAUGUAUUUACAUUAUAGUGAAUGUCUAUCAAGACCUACUUCUUCUUUAUUCUUUAUUAUUUCAUAGCACGUUAUUAGCACGAAGCUGUAACCAAUUGAGUAAUAAUUGAGAUAAAGCCGCCCAAAACGUGAUCUGUCAAUUGCUCAACAUGCUUGAGGUAUUAUUUUUCUUUUAAUAAUUCCUCAUGAGGUAUGAUUUCUUUUAUUAAAUAAUUCCUUUAUCUUGUUCCGAUACGGCAAAGAGCAAUAGAUCCACGGUUGGGACAAUGCACUAUUUUAACAUUUACAUUACUGCUACUUUGAAUGAAAAAAAGAACUAAUUAAUACUUCAUUGAAUAAUUUUGAUUUGAAAAGAAUAAUUAUAAAAGGGUUACAUGCAAAGGUCCAUGCAUAUCUAAAAUUGCGUGGUACGGAAGAUUGAUUGGAAAUUUCUUCCCUCUGUCUGUGUAUUCUUUACACAAUUUAUAUAUUUUUAUAUUAUAUUAUUAUAACAUAUCUAUUGACAUUAAAUCUUCUAUAUAAUUUCAAGGUUAGUAAUUUGUUAUCUGUAUUUUGUUACUAAUAAUAUAAUUAUUGUUGGAUUUGAGGAAAAAUAAUUGAUGUGGAACCAUUAUGUUUUAAAUUUAUUCCUCAAGAACAAUAUUAUCAAAAGAAAUAUAAUAUGUUGGGUUCAAGUUCCAUCAAUUUAUGCCUAAGACGCCUUUAUAUGGAUAAGACGUUGAGUUUGAAUUUCAAUGCAUUAUAUUGAUGAUAUUAUGAUGGCUAAGGUAAAAUAAUGAAUAUUCGGUGAAACAUGUCCCAUUAAAUAUGCUCCAUUCCUUGAAUUGAAUGUGGUAGCAAUAAAUAAUAUGUAUGCCUCAAUUUGCUCUUGUAGCAGCUUUCAUAAUUUGAUACGCUUAAAGCAUGAUUAUAUUCUAUUACUGGGGAAUGAGAAACUUAUUAAUGCAAACGUGCACUUGAUUGUGAUUGUAUCACAACUCACCUGCGAAAGAGGUUGAAUAAUUUUGAAAUCUACUUCUGAAGUAGUAAAUCUGAAAUUUAUUCAUAUAAUAGUAAAUCUGAAUUUUACUAAAGCAAAAACACAUAUCAUGGUAAACUUGGAGUUUACUAGAUUAGAAGUUCAUAAGUUGACAUGAACGAUUGUGAUAUUCCGAAUAUGUGCAUACUGAGUAUUGAACAUAUAUUGAAGAAUUAGAAAAUUCUUCAUGAACUUUAAUGUUGUUUGUUUUCAUGAUAAAUUGGUUGGACCAACUAAUUUUGGAAUUGGAUCCCUCCAAAUCUGAAAAGAAUAAAAGGUGAAUAAGAGUCCGUUCACCUAUCAUGUGAUAUGUUGAAAAGAUGCAUCAAUAAGAUGAUCAUAUGUACAGUCAUUGUCAACCUGCAGUUUGACAUUCAUAAAGUUGCUUGCUCAACAAAAUUGAGUUAAGAACAUAAUUUUCAAAUUGUGCAAUCAAGAAAGUUAUCAUGAUGAUGAUGGUUUAGCAUUGAAUGCCUUCAAUAAAUAGAUAAACCAUUGCUAAUGAGAACAAAGCUUCAUGUGUUGAUCUAAAAUAUGAUAUGUUGCAUACAAUAACACUUGUAUGUAUUAGGCCAAUAAAUUAUGAUUAUUUCUUCCCCUCAAUUGGUUCAAGGUCAUGAACCAACUAUUCCAUCUAAUAAUUUUGAUGUGUGGUAUACGAUUAAUGAAUGUACCAUGAUGCACAAAGAUNNNNNNNNNNNNNNNNNNNNNNNNNNNNNNNNNNNNNNNNNNNNNNNNNNNNNNNNNNNNNNNNNNNNNNNNNNNNNNNNNNNNNNNNNNNNNNNNNNNNNNNNNNNNNNNNNNNNNNNNNNNNNNNNNNNNNNNNNNNNNNNNNNNNNNNNNNNNNNNNNNNNNNNNNNNNNNNNNNNNNNNNNNNNNNNNNNNNNNNNNNNNNNNNNNNNNNNNNNNNNNNNNNNNNNNNNNNNNNNNNNNNNAGGUUCAUGUACCUGAAAAUAAUGAAGUGAUGAGAUCUCAAAAUGUUAUGUCGCAUUGUGAACCGAUACUAAAUGAUAUAUCAUCAAUAUAUUUGACACAAUAUUAGCGCAAUAUUGUGAAAUAUUACGAGGAUCUUAAUUCUACGUUAAUUUAAGCAUGCUGACGUAGAAACAUUUAUCAAGUGACAUGAAAGGAUGCAUUUUGGCAAGUAUUAAACUUAUUUGAUUUACAGUCCAGAUAUGUGAAGAUGUCACUAAUAAAAUGUUGAAUAUUGUCACUUGAUAAAACUUAUAUGAAAAACUUUUAAGGAUUCAAAAUGCUUGAAGCAUAUAAAAGUUUCUGGGAAACUUAUUUAUAAUCCUUAUACUGUAUAAGCUUAUUGCUUGAACAUCAUUUGAACUCUUGGAGAGUUUUCAAAGCAAUAGAUUAUUUGUCGAAAUUCAAAAUAUAUCGAAUUGGAUUGAUUAUGAAGUACCAUAUCUUAGUGCAAUUGAUGUACUCAUGUACCUUGCAAAUACUACAAGGCCUAUAGCCUUUUCAGUCAAUUUGUUAGCAAGAUAUAUUUGUGCUCCUACUAUAAGACAUCAAAAUGGGAUAAAACACAUGAGCUUGUUUUAUUCUAAAUAUUGCAGUCCCGAUCUUAUUAGUCAUGCUGAUGUUGGGUACUUAUCUGACCCGCAUAAAGUUCGGUCUCAAAUAGGCUAUGCGUUCAUAUGUGGUGGUACUGCCAUAUAUUGGAGAUAUACAAAGCAGUCUAUCGUAGCCACUUCAUUGAAUCAUGCUGAGAUAAUAACUAUUCAUAAAGCAAGCCGAGAAUGUGUAUGGUUGAGGUCCAUGAUACAUCUCAUUCGAGAAAAAUAUGGUGUGAAAUAUGACAAUCUACCCACAAUUUUAUACAGAGAUAAUUUAGCAUACAUAGCAUAUCUUAAGGGAAGAUUCAUAAAUGGAGAUAGAACGAAGCACAUUUUGCCAAAGCUUUUCUACGUACAUGAGCUACAAAAGAAUGAUGAGAUUAACGUGCAACAGAUUCGUUCAACUGACAAUGUGACUGAUUUAUUCACCAAAUCUUCUCCAACUGCAACUUUCAAGAAGAUGUUGCACAAGAUUGAGAUGCAAAGGUCAAGGAUGUUCUCAUUAAGGGGAAUUAAUACGCGCUAUACUCUUUUUUCCUUACGAGAUUUUGUCCCACUGGGUUUUCCUUGUAAGUUUUUAAUGAGGCAGCCGAAAUGCGUAUUAUUAGAGAUGUGUACUCUUUUUCCUUCACUAGAUUUUUUUCCAACUGAGUUUUUUCUAGUAAGGUUUUAACGAGACACAUUAUCUACCAAUUAGACAUUCAAUGGGGAGUGUUAUAAAUGUAUUUACAUUAUAGUGAAUGUCUAUCAAGAUCUAUCAAGAUCUACCUUGAUAUCUAUUAGGAUUUGAAGCAUCUGUCUGUUACUCAGACUAGGAGUAAAUUUUUCCUAUAAAUAAAGGAAUUUUAUUCAUUGUAUUUACAAUCUUAUGAUCUUUCAUCUCUUAAGAAAAGAAAUAAGAAUUACUCAGAAAUAAGAAUUACUCUCUCUAUUCUCUCUACUCUCUCUACUCUUCUUCGUUAUUCGUUAUUGUUUCAUAACAGAAAUGACUUUUUGACUAUUAUAAUCUUAUUUAUAUAAGUGACAUGAUUACUAUUUACUAAUUGAUUUUUUUUGUAAUGUUUUCUUCAUUUACUCAAUUGUAGUAAACUCGUAAAUAUUUACUUUUUAUAAUAUUAUUAUUUAUGUUGUUUAAAUUAAUUGUUCACAUAUUUUAAGGAAUGACAUCUCUAUUGAAAUAUUUUUUAUUCUGGAAUGACGUUUUGGUCAUAGUAAUUUUUUUCAUAUAAAUUGCUUGAUUACUAAUUGGUUAUUCACUAAAAUAAAUUUUGUUGCCAACAAAAUAGAUUCUUAUUACCAAAAUACCAAGUGAUUAGUUCUCGAUAUGCCACUUGGCUUAAUUUUAAGCUAACUACUUUGUUUUAUCAUAUAAAUAUAUAGAUUUUCAAGCAAUCCUACUUAUCAUGUGUACAUUUAUUUUUACAAACUAUAUUAUUUAGGUAUAUACUUAGUAAAUUUUAAUUAACCUGGUGUCUAAGUGACACUUGUAGUGACGAGGUGUCUUAAGUGCUGUGUGUCUAUUGGGUCACAGCUUAAUAUAAAUAUAAUUACCUCAAAUUACAACAACAACAACAACAACAUACCCAGUAUAUUCCCACAUAGUGGAGUUUGGGGAGGGUAAAAUGUACACAGUCCAUACCACUAUCCCGACGGGGGUAGAAAGGCUGUUUUCGAUAGACCCCCAGCUCAGGACCAAGGACCAUCCUUCAUACCAAACACGCCCUAAAUAUAAAACAAAUCCAAGCUGAAUAGAGAAAAUAGAGGCUCAGAUCUGUAUUAAGCUCGGGCAGCAAGAGAGUCCAACAACGCCUUGGCUGCAAAACCAUCAGAAAAUCUGGUAGCAUGCCCCGUCAAGAUGCGCGUCGGAUAACAUCAAAUGAUCAAUUAAUCUGCUCGGAAGGGAAUAAAAUAUGACAAAAUCAUCAUCGCCUCUUUAAAGCCACCGAUUAUACUCGGCACUAAAUGCUCCAACAGAACCAUUAGAAAAAGGAGAGAAAAAAAAGAGCUGAAGGUUGUCGAAAACCUUCAAACAAAUGAUGUUAACCAUAUAUAUUUCCCUUCGUUCAAAAUCAAUAAAAGGGUUGUUGGCAUUCUUAAAUAAACUUAAUAUCUUAUCAAAAAACAGCAUAUAAUGAACGUAUUUGGUUGUAUUUUGCUAUUUUAUUAUCUUUUUUGUUUUUAUAAUCCUGCAUAAGAUUUUUUUUUUUUUCAAUGAAAGCCUAUCAAAAAUAAUUUUCUUUAUCUCACAAAAAUAAAAAUAAGAUUUAUGUAUAUUCAUAAAUCUCAGUAUCUUAAUCUCACUAGCAUAUUAUUCGUAUUGCUUUAUAAUAUCACCUAAGUGGAUUUAUAUAUAUUCAAUGAUUUCAUAAGAUUCUUGAAUUACUCUAGAGAGUUCCAAGAACCAAAAGAUCUUUUUGACAAGUCUUGUGAAUACAACCAAAAGUGACCAAUCAUCAUAAUGAUGUCAAAUUUUUAUCAACUCUUCUUUUGCAUUUAUAUAAUUUCG
rnacentral:lncRNA from 1 species